rnacentral:lncRNA from 1 species
UUAAGUUUGGUCUAAUUUUGAUUUCUGACCAAAUCUAAUGUAAAUCGAUCUAUAUGAAAUGUUAUUUAUAAGAUUUCUAAAUAUUAUCUUGUAAAAACAUAUCACAGCAACUAUAAAAACCCUUCUUUUGUUCCUUAAUUUUCCAUCCAUCAAUUGUUUUCUCUAGAACAACUUGAGAGCUAGGGAUUUUCUCUUCUUCUUGGAGUCCACACUACCAACCCUUUGUUUGCUCUGACAACCUUCUUCUUUCCUCUCUGCCACCUCCACCAACCCUUUCUGAUCGUGUCAAGGAACACCUUUGGUCGAGUUUAUUACAAGCCACUGCCCUACGGAUAACCUGUAAGGAUAAUAUUGACAUUUUAGUAAUAAUGAAAUGCCAUAUUACUCUUGAAGGUUGUGCUGAAGGGCUAGACAUUGGGCUUAUAGAGUUUUUCCUUGAUAUGACCAGAUUGAUCUAAUACAAUUGGCAUUAAAGGAUGGAAGUUUGUUGUCUGAAUCAACAAAGAGUUGGGUAGUAUAAACAUUCGCCAACUUAUUAUGCAGCUUAAAUGAUGUUUGAGUUAAAUUAUGAUAAGAUUUUCCAUCAUGUACUUAAAGAUAAUGAUAUGAGAGAAUUGAGUUAUUUAUUUGUUGUUAAAUGACCUAUGGGAAUAUGUCUAUUAAGUCAUGGUCAAAAUAAUAGCUUUAAUUUCCUCUAAAUGACAGUAAUAAAAGAUUUGAUGUAUUUCGUUAAGUACACCAAGUUAACUUUAAUUCUCAUGUAAAAAAGAUGGUGCAUAUAUGCCUUUUUCUGAUAAAUGGUGCAUACACCCAUUUUUGUCAACUGCCUGCAUUUACUAAAUUAAAGAGAAUGUUAAAACCAAUUUUUUUAAUUUCAAAGCUUAUCCAUUCAAGACUUCCUCAUUGUUUUCUAUUGUUAGAUUUAGAAAAUUAACUGACCCAUGUUUUUUCCUCCAGACCCGAUACAAAUUGAAAAAAUUCCAUCUCUUUUCUACUCAAUCAUUUUUUUUUGUUUCCCAAGGUAUCCCCCAGUCUAACAAGCCAAGAACUAAUCCUCCACAGAUUUGAGCUCCAUUUAAGAACUUACCGCUGGUCAAUUGGUUGCUACAUGCACAAGGCGGAUCUACGCAAUCGUUAAAUGAGCUUGAAUCGAGACUCAAUAAAAGAAUGAUUGAUUUUUUUCUUUUUCUAGUAAAAAAAAUGUGUAAGAUAAUUUUUAAAAAAUCUAGACCUCUCCUAACUUCAAAACCUACUAAAACAUAAAGGUGUCUUAUACAUUGGUGUGACAUAUUUUUUACAAGAUAAUAUUUAAAAUAACAUUGGUGUGUUGGUAUAUACUAGACAUUGAAGGCUCAAUUUGUUUGACUCAAAUAUAAUUUAGAUAAUUAAUUAUUAAAAUAAUUUUAAUUUUUAAUUAUUGUAAUUUAUAAUACUAUUUCUUCUAUUUCAAUUUAAGUGACACUGAUAUAAUUUCAAAAGUUAAUUACUGUGGCAGUAAUAUAAUUUCGAUGGUCAAUCAAAUGUUUUAUGUUAACAUAUCGUUUUGUGUCUAUUUUAUGAAAUAUUAUUAAUUUUUUAAUGCGAUCAUAAUAAUUAAUUUGGGGAGAUAUAAUAAAAUCUCAAUUGAAGAAGCUAAGAACUCAUGUCUUAAAUGACUUAUAAUAACUAAUUAGAAGUGAUAUAAUAAAAUUACUAUAAAAAAUACUUGUGAAAAAAGCAUAAAUAGGCAUCAUAUAAGACAUCAAGUUAAUUUAAAAGAUCAAAAGUUAAUUUAUUAUUUAUUGUCAAUUUUAUAUUUUUUUGUUAAAUAUUAUAAUUUUUUUAAUACUUAAAUAACCUAUAGUAAUUAAUUUGGGGUACUAUAGUAAAAUUACGAUUGAAGUAGCUGAAGCAGGCAACGCAAGUAGGCAUGUCGAUUAUUUUAUAUUUUUAUUUAAUAGUACAAUUUUUUUAAUACUUAAAUAACUUAUAGUAAUUAAUUAGGGGUAAUAUAGUAAAAUUAUGAUUGAAGCAGCUAAAGCAAGCAGCACAAGCAGGCAUGUCGAAGACGUGCCUGCUUAUUGCCACUUAUAUUUUAUUAAUAAUAAAAUUAUAAAUUAUAAAUUUUUUAAUACUUAAAUAACUUAUAAUAAUUAAUUAGGAGUAAUAUAGUAAAAUUACGAUUGUAGCUCAAGCAAGCAGCACAAACAGACAUGUCAAAGAUGUUCCCGCUUAUUGCCACUUAUUAUAUAUAGUAAUAUAUUAAAUCUCAGUAAAAGUCAAAUUAGACUAAAUCUAAGAAUCUCGAAAACAUCAAAAAAAGAAAAACACAAUCUUAGCAAGGAAAUCAAUAUCAUAAAAUAGGUAAUUAUAUUAUUAAUUAUUGUUAAUUCAAUUUUCACGCAAUCAAAGUUCAAGUACCUUCCAAAAAAGGAUGGAGGGUAGGAUUGACUGAGUGUAUAGCCUGGAAUAUAAUGAAGCUAGCUUUGCAAAAUACUUAUGCAAUAUAACCCAUAAAGCUGAUGAUCGAUAUGUGGAUAAAAUGGGUGCAUCAUGUGUACUUGAAAGACUAUUAGUGGUUGUACGUAAACCCUCCAAAUUUUUGUUGGCUCUGGAAACGAGUGUGACAAAUUAGAGAUGUUGUCUUACCAGGACGGCUGAAGGUGCAUGGAACGUACACUCGUCCCGAGUGUGACAAAUUUUCUUUAAAAGAAAUUUGUCCCGAGUGAUAUCAAAUUGAAGCCAUAAUCAAAAUGGUCCUUUCGAUGUCUUAAAUAAGAUCGAUCCCACCCAACCUUUAGCGUUUAUACAAUGGAGUAACACUUUCCUAUCCACAACCACAAACCUAUAUUCAGGUAUGAUUCAAUAUAUAAAUUCAUGUCUCUUGUACAAUAAAUAUUAUAUUCUAAAAUUCCUAUAUAGACAUCAGAUUCUUUCAUCAGUUAUAACUUAAAAGCGUUUUCCUUUCGAAUAGAAGUAGAGUAAGUAGAAGGCAUUCCUUCUCAUGAAAGUGCAAGUGCUCGUUAAACAAAUCAUAUGAGCAAAUCAGUUAUCUUUGCGAGAUUGGACAAGUGAACAACUUGGAAGAAGUGUAAUACAACAUCACUUACAAUAUUAGCGUAUUUUAAUUGGUUAUUCUAGGUUACUUAUUUCUGGUCAUUAAUUACAAAACAUUAUAAAAGUUACGGAAAAAGGUCAAAUAUAUCCUUCAAGUAUUGAAAAUGGUUCAAAAAUAUCCUUCUUAUCUUUUGGCUCUAAAAUACUCUUCCAUCCACCUAUAUAGCUCUAAAAUACUCUUCCAUCCAUCUAUAUGACUCUAAAAUACCCUUCCACUUCACGGACAAGUAAUUAUGCUUCUAAUCUAACACAUGACAACUUGUUAUUGAUUGAAAAUUUUAUUAAUUAAAAGCUAAUUAUUCCGCAAAAUUCGAUUCGAUUCCCACUAAAAUUACCCAACCCAAUCGGGAACUAAAUAAUGAAAUUAUCAUCACUAUCUAACAAUUUGAAAUUAUUAAUUCUCACCAUUAUAAAGAAUUACUUAUAGUCAAUUUUAAAAGGAUUAAUAGUGUGAAAAUACAUUAUAAACUCGAAGGAGAAAAAAAUGGGACAUAAUCAUCCGGUUUAAAUCAGUGAGCCAAUGCCAUCGAUUUCAAACUCUUCGAUCAAAUUGCCCUCUUUGAUAAAGUGUUGAAGAAUUCUGGAAACUCGGCAAUCAAAACCUCCAAUUACAGUCAAGAAGGACGACUCAAUUAUCUACGGGAAGCUCUGAAAUAGAAUUAGGAAAUGAAAAUUGGGUAAAAACUUACACACACCUGAUGUAUACACUAAAAUUAAUAUUUUUUUUAUCACGAUUAAGUGAGUAUUGUUUGGAUUUUAGAAAUAAUUAGUUUCUAAUUAAUUAAACAUCCAGCUAGUAACAAGCUAUCACAUGUUAAUUAGUUAGAAGCCUAAUCAUUUGUCCGUUAAGUGGAAGAGUAUUUUAGAUCCAUAUAGGUGGGUGGAAGGGUAUUUUAGAGCCAAAUAGGUAGAUGAAAGGACAUUUCAGAGCCUAAAGAUGGAAGAUGGGUAUUAUUGAACCAUUUUCAAUACUUGAAGGGUAUAUUAGCCCCUUUUCCGUAAAAAUUAUAUGAAAUUUACUUUUAAAAAUUUGUUGCAACUUGUAGUAAAUGAGUCAUAGAUGGAGUACUCUGUACAAAGAAAUGUUUAUGAAUACUUGAAGAACUGCUGGAAAUAUUCUUCUAUAUUAUUGAAAGCAACAAAUUGAUUAAAUUGAAUUACACAGGAGACCCCUAACUAAAGAGUAUUAAAGUAUCCUAUCUAAAUUAUUGUCACACAAACCCCUCCUUUUUUUCUCAAAAAUAAUAGAAGUGUAACACCCUGGCCUUUUCAAUGCUUAAAAAGUGCAAGAAAUGAGCCCUUAAGAUCCCAAUAUCAAAGAUAAAUUACUUUAGGAUGAACUUAAAUGGGUUGGGGACGUUUAUAGGCUAAGAAAAGACUUUUCCGUCGCGAAAUGGGCACCUUGCGGCAGCCCCGCGUCACAAAUAACCCCGCGAUAGGCUAAUGCCUCGGGUUCGCACCACGAACCUCCAGGUUCACCUCAGGGGUCGCGCCACGAACCUCCAGGUUCACCCCAGGGGUCGCGCCGCGAACCUCCUAGUUCGCGAUGGGGGUUGCGCCUCGAAUCCCCUCCCCUUGCAUCAAAAAUAUUUUGUUUUUAGUAUAUUUUAAGGGCAUGAGGGUCUUUUCACACCCCUAAGUUGUUUCCAAUCUCUUAUGUAUGGGUUUAGUACCUUAAAGGCUUUGUUAGACCUCAGUAAAUCCCUAAUCAUCAUUCUAAUAGCAAGAGAGGAGAAAACUACCUAGGUUUGAGAAUUCUAAGCUUCAAGGGUAAAUUUUACACUACGUUCUCUCCGUUUCAAGGUAUGUAGAACUAUCCUAAUAAUCUUGGGCUAAAUUAUGUUUUCUUUAUGGACUUCAAAGUAUAUUUAUGUAUAUUCAUAUAUAUGAUUAUUGAGAAUUAACUUAAGAGCAUAAUUUAUGAUAUUUUCAGAAUCAACUUAUGAGCGUGAUUUGUGAUAUUCCCUCUUUCAUAAUAAAAUUACUUGCCUUAAAAAUGAUAUGCGUUGUUCAAAUGCAUGAUUAAAGGCUUGAGUUGAAUGCUCUUCUAUCAAUGGUGGAUUGACAUGAUAUUGUGUUCCAAGAGAGGGCUUUGUAUUAUGUUCUAAAUGCUCUUUUGUAAUUAGACAAGGGAUUACAUGAGAUUUAUGCAAGAGAUGACCACCAUUUGUUAGAUUCUUGAAAAGAGAAUGUUUUUGCAUAAGUUUUCAUAGGAUAUUUGAAAUAAGAACUCUCAUGUGGUGCUUAAAUCUUUUGGUGGUCAUUAACAUAUUUUUGGAAUGAAAGGGGCUAUGAUUAUGAUAUGAUAUGAUAUGGCUUGCAAGCCUAUUUAUGACGAUACCUAUCACGAAAUGUCCUUAACAUGAAAGAAAUGAAUAUUAUAAGCAUGAAGCAUGGUUUUAAGAGGCUAAAAUUGAGCUUAAAGAGGGAUAUAUGAAAAACCGAGAAGGCACGAUUUUAGAUAACUUGUAACUCGAAAUCGUAAUUUGUCGACAUGUGUUUUAUAUUAGGUUAUCCUAAAAAGGGGAUAACUAUGGAAUGCUGUCCCAAAAGGAGGAUAAUUAUUGUACACCAUUACGCAGAACUCAGAUCCUUGCGGUAAACUUGGAUUGGAAGAUUUUUCGCCGAGUUAAUGGCCGACCUAUAUAGACCGUCGGUGAUGAGAUCCAAAUGCCAUCUAGCCCAGAAGUAAAAUAAGGAGUUUUUUUUACGUUUAUCAAAUGGACCACAACUUGUAUUUUAAUUAUACCCAUGUAUUUUGAUCUCUAUUAUGUUAAAUUAUUUUCACAAUGCUCCUAAUUAUUUUAUAUGAAAUAUAUGUUAUUUUUGAAUUGUUCUGCAUACCAAUACAUUUCAAGUAUUGACCAUCCUCGUGGCAGCUGCAUUGUCUCAUAAUAUGGGUUCUGAGGUACAGUCUCGUUGUCUAAAUCAACAGUAGAUUACUUUCACAAAUUCAGAGUCAGUUAGCCUCCCUUACUUCGGAAGGCAUUUUGUCCAUAUGUUGAUUUCAUUUAGUUUCGUGGUCCAACCGGGGCCUUGUCCCGGCUUAGACAGACUAGUGUUUCAGUAGAUGCUUUGUAGACUAGUUUAGAUUAAAUUUGGCUUUAUGUUUUGAUGAUGUGAUGUAUUUAAAUUUGAUUAUGAGACUUUUCAUAUUUUAAUUUAUCUUCCGCACUUCUUUUUUGUAUGAAUGAUGCUUAUGAUAAUAUGUUAAGAGGUCACUCAGACCUUCAUGGUUGGGGAUGUUCGUUGCUGUAACGGCCCUUCCGGUCGUUUGUGAAAUUUUCUUAUCUUUUUUAUUUUUAACUCUCACGCUAGUUUGUAUACAUGAAUUAUGACUUACAAAACUGUAGUACCAAUUCGUGAGGUGUUCGGUGGCGAUUUAGGUCAUUAAUUGGAUCCUUGAGUUUUAAUAACGUUAAAUCCAAUAAUAGUCAAUUUUCGAUCGAGACGACCUCAGAUUGGUAUUUUAAUAUUUUCAAUAGGUUCGGAACAUACUUUUUAGUCAAUGUAAAUAUUUAUUUAUUUAUUGAGGUUUCAAAAAUUAUUAGAGAAUUUAUCAAAAAUUUAGAUAGUAUUUUAAUUGGUGGUUAUUGGGCCAAAUCGAUAUUUCUUAACUCUUGAGACCUAUUUAUAAUAAUAUAAUAGAUUUAAGUGGAAAUGAUUUAAAAAAAAAUCAUCAAAUAUAUCGAUUAAUGGGGGAACACAGUUACAGUAGUAUUAUUUUAUUUCAAAAUCCUAGGCUGCUGAGUAAGCACUACUCGUAAUUUUAGUUAUGAUUUUCUAUCAAAUUGCUCGUACAGUUUUCAUGUCUUUGUGGGUUUAAAAAGUAAGUUAAUUGGUGGGUAUGUGGAGUCAAAAGAAUGGGACAAUCAUUGAAUAAUGAUUGCAGGUGGAAGUUAGGGAGAAAGUUAUUUUUGGGAUGAAUUUAAUAGUUAUGUACUAUAUAGGAAUGGUAUAAAGUAUUAAUUGCCAAUAGAAUUGGGAAAUUGGUGGCAAUAUUCUGACAAGCCAUUACUGGCAAUGGUAUGAAAAUAUAGGUAAAUGUCAGUGUUUGCGGAUGGCGUCUGUACAACUGAGUAUGUUUUUAUUUUAAUUUUUCUUUUCUUUUUUUCUUUCCAUAAUUUGCUUUAUAUUUUGGAAUUAAAGAAAUUGAGGUUUAGAUUUAGAGUUCCUAGAGUAAGAAUUUAUUAAUUUGGAAAUCGAAUGAUGACUCGUUUUAGUUGAAAUUUGAUGCAGUAGUUCAUACUCUUAUGAGAAUUAUAUAUUUGGACAUAUUGUAGCCAUUUGGAAGCUUUACAGCAGGAUAAGAUCCUUGCAAAUUAGCUUGCAUUCGAUUCCUUCGGUUGACUUAGGUUAUAUUUUAAUUGGAGUUUAGACUCGAUUUAAUUAUGCAUAUGCUCCUAAAUUGGAUACUUGUUGAAUGAUAUUCAGACAUGCUUAAAAUUGACGAUGUUUGGAUUAUUGAGGCGUGUAUAAAUAAUUAUUAAAAAUUCACUUGAUGGAAUUGUUUUAUGACUUUAAGUGUACUUAUAAACUUGGUACAUCAUAUUGUAUGCUGUGAGGUAGUGUAAAUUUGAUAUUGAUAUUACUUAUUUAUGGUGGAUCGGAUACUAUGCCGGUACGGAUAUGUAUAUUGAUAUUACUUGUUUAUAGUCAAUCGGGUACCACACCAGUAUGGAUAUGAUAUGAUAUUACUUGUUAUUGAGGAUCGGAUACCACGCUGGUACAAAUGUGUAUAUUGAUAUUACUUUUUUGUGGAGGAUCAGAUACCACACUGGUACAUAUAUGUAUAUUGAUAUUACUUGUUUAUGGAGGAUCGGGUACCACGCCAAUACAGAUAUGUUUAUUGAUAUUACUUAUUUAUGGUGGAUCGGGUAUCACGCAUGUAUGAAUAUAUAUAUAUAUAUAUAUAUAUAUUGAUAUUACUUAUUUAUAGAGUCUCGGAUACCACACCGGUAUGAGUAUGAUAUUGAUAUUACUUGUUAUUGAGGAUUGGGUACCAUACCGAUACGGUACAUGAACAUAGACUGUUCCCUGUAAGUCAUGACUAUUUGGCCAACAUAAAUCCCAUAACAUGUGUGUACAUAUUUGUGUUAAUUCUGUGGAUGUUUACAGUAUGGUUGAUACUCUUGAUGGUUAUGUGGUUGCUUAUGGGCACUGUUUGACCUGUUAUUGCUGUAUUGUUGAUUCAUUGAGUAUUUGUUAUGUAAUGACUCAUGUCAACUUGUUAUUUGAUUUAUUUUGUGUACAUAUUAUUAAAUUGAGUUGGCUUAUGAUACCUACCAGUACAUAGUGGUUUGUACUGAUACUACCCUGUACUUUUCUUUUGUUGAGAACAGAAAGUGUUCCAGAGGGUCAGACACGACCUCACCUCUAGAUUUUGAUAGCAAAUCUUGAUCCAAGGGUGAUCACUCUGUCUUCAGGCUGCCAUGGGUCAUCCUGUUUGUUCUUGUCCAUCUUUCGGGCAAUGAAAUAUUUUUUAUUUACUUUAUUUUUGGAUAUCUCUUUUAGACAUAAUCUUUAUUAGGAGUUCUUGUAUGAUGACUUUCGGGUUUUGGGAAUUUCAGUGAGUAGUUUGUCGAUUUUCGUAUCGAUAAUGAUUAGCUCUAGAUUAUUUUUAUUAAGUUGGUGUUAUGAUAAUAUCAUUUUAAUCUUGACUAAGUGUUUGUAUAAUGUUUUGGUUUAGAUGGUUCUCCCACAUGAAGAUUAGUGUGGGUACCAGUUAUGGCCUUUUGGAUCGUGACAGUCGCGGCCAGAAUCCCAUCUCGGAUUGUGACAAGAAGUUUAUGUUUUAAGAUUCAAAAAGGUUUUCAAGAUUGAAUGUGACAAGAAUAAGGUGUUUCAAAAGGGAUUCAUUUAAAAUUGAAAUUUUCUCCUAACAUUAGUUUUUGGUGGGUCAAGGUACCUUAAAAAACACCAUUUUUAAAACGAUCAAUGUUAGAGAUUCCGGUUAGAAAUUCUAUUAAUGAGGGGAGGUGUGAAGGAUCCUUAACCCCGUGGUUCUAACGUGGUCGCUUCAUUGAUUCAUUUUAGAUCAAAUAUAAAUUUCAGUAGAAAAACUUAAAUAUAAGAAAGCAAGCACAUAAAAGUAUUUAAUGCCCAAAUUAUUACACUCCAACAUAAAAGAAAGUACAGAAAGCAAUCCUAAACUAUAUAUCCUCCCAUACCUAUACUAUGCUUCACCCAACAAAUCGAAUCCUGUUCACAAACAACCUUCAUGUACAAAAUACUUUGGGACAUUCCCUGAAAAAUGAAUACAUAUUUGAAAGCGGAUUAAAAAGAACACUCAAGAAAUUAAACGUCUAAAGUUUAACCAUCUAAUUGAAGUAAGGAGGUAAAGAUGAUGGAAGUACUUGAAUUUAAUUUCUUUUUUCACUAUUAGCACCUGAAUGAUCUAAAUCAUUUUCUAUUUGCUGUUUUGAUUCAUUUCGAUCAGAUGGAUUUACAUGGUAGUGUGUUAGUGUAACAUCCCACACCUUCGAGCUAGAAUUUAAAUAGUCGUUCCUGUGCGUAUAGACCCAAACCAAAUGCUUCAUUGUUAAUAUAUGUGUGGUGAUCAAUCCUAUAGUAUGGGAAUACCUUUGAAUAUGAAUUCAGGUCACAAAAAUCUCCUAACUCAAAGACGAGUUGAAAACUUUUCUAUCAAUUAAGUUUUAGUGGACGCUUCAACUUGAGUUCAUUUAAAUAGACAAUUACUCCUAGAAUAUGAUGAUUUAAAGGGCCUACUAUAUAUAAAAUGAAAUGUAUUCGAGUCUUCUUUCCAACGCCUCUAAGCGUUCAUUUAUCCGAGUGCGGAGUAAAAAGUUAUGAGUGUUUGAAUGAGACACUAGCUAGACUAUGUGAUGGGGCAUGCGACACCCACUUAAGGCUAUGCCAUGGGUCGUGCAUCGCCCAGCUUGGCUUGUGCCAUGGGCUGUGUGUCGUCCAUCUUGGGCAAAGCAGCGUAAAAGCUCUAUUUUUGUGUUAUUUAUGGGCAAUACGGUCCUUUCACGUCCUAUAACAGUCCCUAAACUUUUAUAGCCGAAUUACAACCCUAAUGCACCUUAAUUCCUCCUAAAAAAUCCCUAAUGCAUCUUCUAAGUCACAAGAGGAGAAAAACAACUUAGGGUUUUCUCUUUCAAGCGUAAAGGUUUGAUCUUCUCAUGAAUUCUUCGUCAAUUAAGGUACAUGGGGCUGUCCUAAAACCUCAUGGACAUAAGUUAUUAUUUUACUAAGCUUUUGAAAGCAUGUUAUAAUGUUUAUAAUAAAAGUUUGAAUAAUUGUUUUGAAUAAUCAAAUCAUGAAAACCCGAUUUAGUGAUAUAUAUGGUUUUGUUCUUGAGGACUCCCUUUAAACUUGAAUUAUGCUCAUGAAAGUAUGUAUAUUCAUUUUUAGUUUUGAAAUUCGAAUUGAGAAUAUGAAUUAUUAAAUCCCCUCUUUUGUGGUGACAUCUCUUGAUUUUACAUGUUGUGGGUUGUUCAAUUGCAUGUCUUGAAGCAUGAGAUAAGUAUUUUACUAUUGUUUUGGACUUGAUAUUGAUUAUGAAUUGAAGAGAGGGUGUUUAUUGUUUAUAAAUGUUCAAGGGGAUAAUUGAAAGAGUUGCAUGGAUUGUUGUAAAGGAAUUGGCCAUCAUGUGUUGAAAAAUCUAAAUAAAAACAUUAUAUGGCUUUGACAUAUGACUUGCAAGUCUUGGUAUGACAAUACCAAACAGAUGAAUGCCAUAGCAGAUUCAGAACAGACUAGAAUAAAAAUUUUACUUAGAUUUUUAGAUUUUGAAUUCAGAAAGAUGCAUGCUUAGAAAAGGUUAAAAAUGGGCUUAAAGAGAGUUAGAUAUUUACCCGAAGAAAGUACGAGUUAAAAGACUCAAUGCUGCAAACUGUAAUUACCGACAUGGGGUGAUGGUACCAUGUUUUGUGGUCUUGAGUACCUUGAUUCAUGUCGUUCCAAUUUGGAACUAUGGAUAGGAGCUAUGCUAUGUGGUAUUGUGCACUACCAUGACAUGUUGAUUUUAUUGGGGAUCAUGGCACCAUGUUGUGUGGUCUUGCCUAUCUCCCCUUAUAGAUACUCCAAUCCUUGCUGCAAACUUGGAUUGGGGGCUUGGCCGCCGAAGCAAGGGAAGAUUCCAUAUAUAGCCCAUGAAAUUACAGAUUGUAAGGUGUACCAUCUAGCUCAGAAGUAAUAUAAAGAGUGGUUCAUGAUUUCAAAGAAAUGUUCCAAAGUCUUUUAAGUAUGCCCAUGUGUUUUCCUAUAUCGUAUGUAAACUGUUUUAUGAAUUGCUCUCACUUAUGUUGUAUAAAAGUACAUUAUUUUGGAUUGCUCUGCGUACUAGUACAUUUGUAUUGACCCCAUAUAUUUUAGGAUCUGAGGAUCAGUCUUGGGGUCCCACUAAACUGUAGACCAUUGUCAGACGACUGAAGAUGGUGAGCCUUCCUUGUUUCGGAUGGACUUAUCUUAUGAUUUCAUUGAUUUUAGUUCAUGGUCCGACCGGGGGCCUUGUCCCGAUCUUCCAAUAGAUAUUUUUUUCUUUCACUUAUUAGAGAUUUCGCAUGCAGGUGUUAGAUGAAUUUGGGUCUUGUUGAAAUUAUAACUAUAUGAUUUUGUUGGAAUCAAAUGACCACGAUUUGGUUUGUAUUUCCGCAUCUUUAUAGUUUAUGAAUUAUGCAUAUGAUUUUCAGUUAGAAGGGCUCUCAGUCCUUCAUGGUUUGGGAUGCCCGUCCGGCCAAGGCCUUGGUUCGGAUCGUGACAAUUAGAGUGACGUUAAUAGUGGUUUAUCUAGAUGAUUAUGGAGAAAGUGGAGAAUGAAGAAUUUUCCAAUCGAGAGCUCACGCACUAAACUGAAUUCGAAAGCAAAUGGUAGGAGAUAAAGGAUUUUAAAUAUUACUGAAUUCAUAUUUAUGUUUGGGAUGUCCAAAAUACUUUGUUGAAUCAAAAGGUCAAUGAAUUUAAAGUUAGUUAAGCUUGUUAAAGCUAAUAAAAGAGAUAUGUUUCUAUUUUAAGAUGAUAUUGAUAAUCGUGUAAUAAAAGUGAAUUUAAAUUGAUAGAUUACAUUUUUGAAAUACGUGUUUUUAGUUUUUCAAUUUUAAUUUGAAAAAGAUUACUUUUUAAAUUUAAAUUGAAGAAAAUUAUUUUAUGUAAUGAUAUAAAUAUGAUAUUCUUUUGACACAAUACAUAAAUAUGCCCUUUAACUUGGCAUCAGAUCACAUUUAUGACCUCCAACUUUCGGUGUGCAUAAGUAGGCACUUAAACUUGUAUAAAGUUCAAUAAGUAGACACAUGUCUUAUAUGACGUCCUACAUGUCGUCGAACGUGUAUUAUGCCAUAUUGAACGUGCGUGUCUACUUGUUCAACUUUAUAUAAGUUUAAGUAUUUACUUGUUGUUACGACUCGAACCGAGGCCCUGGCCGCGUCGAGCAUCCUGAACCAUGCGAGAGCCCUUCUAGUUGACAAUAAUAUGCAACGUUCACAUAUUAUGAAGAAUGUGGAAAACAAACGGAAACAUGGUCAUUUUACUAUUUCAACUGAGCAAUGCAGACAUAAGUGCAAUAAAACUCAAACCAUCUAAUACUAGUCUGCGAAAUCUCUAAUGAUAUGAAAACACCAUAUGUCUAAAAUUGGGACAAGACCCUCAGUCGGACCAUGAACUAAAAUCAAAUGACAAUAUAUCAUAAAUAAAGCCUUCCAAAAUAAGGGAGGCUCACCAACUGUAAACUUUUGACAACCCAAUCUACUGCUUAGCGGGAUCCUAAGACUAUACCUUAGAUCCUGAAAUAUAGGGAGUCAAUACAAAUGUACUGGUCUGUGAAACAACCCAAAAUAACAUGUUUUUAUACAAAAUAGGUGAGAGCAUUUCAUAAUAACAGUGAACAUAAUAUAAGUAAAAUACAUGGGCAUACUUAAUAAACUUCAAAUCAAUUCUCGACAACCUUGACUCACUCUUUGUUAUUCUUCUAAGCUAAAUUGUACACCCUACAAUCUAUAAAUCUAUGGGAUAUAUGGAAUCCACCAUUGACUUGGCGGACAAGCUGCCAAACCAAGUUUGCCACAAGGAUUGGGGUAUCAGUAAGGGAGACACGCAAGAUCACAAAGUAGGGUGCCAUAAUCCCAAUCAAAUCAACAUGUCAUGGUAGUGUAUAAGAUCAUAAAUCAGGGCUCUUAACUAUAGUCCCAAAUUGGAAAGACAUGAGUCAAGGUACGCAAGAUGACAUAGCAGGGUACCAAAGUCCCGUGUCGGUAAAUCACGGUUUCCAGCAUAGAGUCCUUUAACUCUUGCUUUCUUUGGGUAACCAUAUGACUCUCUAUAAGCCCUACUUUUAGCAUUUUAAAAAUCAUGUUUCAUCCUUUUAAAACAUUUGAUACUUAUUCUAUUAAGUGCCUAUCAUCAUCUAGUAUUGUCAUACCCUGACUUGCAGGUCAUUCAUAUAACACCAUAACAUAUCUGUAACCCUUUUUUACUUAUCCUCAUGUUAAUGACCACCCAUAGUUCUUAAACAUCAAGUAAGAGAGAGUCAUGAAAUAGAUUUUCAUUUUGAAUUUACAUCAAAAACACUCUUCUCUUAAUAGUACAAUCAUAAGGUGGCAAUAUCAUAUUUACAUUACUCAAAACCUAUGGAAAUUAUUAAUUUGACACAAUGAACAUUUAUCAUGCGAAAAAUAUCCUCUCAACAUGUCAUAACAGUAUUAAUCCAUGAUCAUUAAAAAAGCGUUCACCCUUUUAUUUUUCUUUAAGAAAGUUCAUGCAAUUUAAGCAAUCCACAACACUUGAAAUCUAUGACAUUAUAAAAGGAGAGGGAGUUUUUAUCAAUCAUUCUCUCAAUUGACUCUUCAUUACAAACGAAAACAUACAUAUAUAGUUACAAUUUAAAUUUUAUGAAAAAUGGUUCAAGAUAACAUAUAAAUUCAUCAAAACAAUUCCAUGAUACAUACUUUUCACAAUAAUAUCAAAACCUUUCUUUAUAAACAUAAUUGAGGAUAUUUAAACUUGAUAAAAUAGUAAAUCUUAUACCUAUGGAGUUUAGAGUAGUCUGACAUACCUUACGUUAAUUAGUUUGAAGAUUGGAACCCUAGUAUUGAUUUCCUUCUUGAAAUCUUGAAGUUAAAAGGCUUGAAUUCUUGUUUUGGAGAAGAGUUGAAUCUUGUUUCUUGGGAGGUGGCUAGGAUUUUUCUUUGAGAGAAAAUAUGAGUAAUAGUGUGGAAAAUGCUUUUGGGAGAUGAAAUUAAGUGUUAUGGGCGGAUUUGGGAGAGGAGAAGUGACCAAAGUUCCCCUAGACCCUUUAUGAACUGAAAUAGCAUGUGAAACAGCUUCGUAUUGCGUUGGCCAUCACAUCGAAGACCAUCGCGCCGCGUCCCAAUUACGUCAGCUUACUGCCUCUUACGAAAAAUACCACAACUUUUCACUGGGGUAUUGAAUUAAGACAAAAUUGGUAUUGUUGGAAAGAUGACUCAAUUAUCUAUAAUUUGGUGGGUCUUGAGAUGAAAAAUUCCACAUAUAUCAAAAGUUAUACACGUUCAAAGUUAACCCUUGUAGAAUCAAAUACCAAACUAUGAACAAUCUAAAAGCUCUUCAAUUUUGCUCUAAGUGAUUUCCAUGAGCAUUUUUCACCUCAAAAGCACUUCAAACAUGAGGAUGAGGAUCAUGACACAUGAAUUUAAAAAUAAAACAUCAUGGGAUUAGAUUUUACACACGUAGGAACGACGGUUCAAUUUCUAGCUCGAAAAUGCGGGGUGUUACACUUGUGCACACCCAAAGUUGGAGGUCAUAAAUAUAAUUUGUGGUCAAGUUAAAAGGCAUAUUUAUGUAUUAUGCCUAUUUUUAUGAUAUCCAAAAACUAUUAACUAAUGACAUGACUCAUUUUAUUUAUUUUAUUUAAUAAACAUUUUAUUAGUGAGAACAUCAGGUGGAGAAACAAAAUUAUAGUUCAAAUAUUAUCAUGACAAUUAAAUUUGAUGUGUUCAAAAAAAUAAAAAUUAAAAAACUCAUAUAACCACUAAAAUUCUAUGGGUUUACCUAUGAAGCUAAAGCUUCAACAACUACAAAUAUGGAAGCUAUGGAACAGUAGACUAAUAUGAGAAAGCCAUGAAGAAUUGCUAAGAUAGAAAUGGCAGAGAGAUGGAAGAAAGAACGAGAGAAACUGAACUUUUAAAAAUUUCUAUAUGGUCAAUAUUUUUCAAGCAUCCUUUGUGAUAUACACAUUUCUACUUAUACACUAUACAAUUAUAACUUCUCCUUGACAGCUGUAAGGCUCAACUAACCUAUUUUCUAACUGACUACUAACUACUAAUUGUAUCAGUUUCACUAACUCUUAACUACUACCUCAGCUUGCAUCCUUUCAUACUCCCCCUCAAGCUGUAGGGUUAAGAAUGUUGAGAACUCCAAGCUUGAUCAGUAGGUAGCUAUGUUGUACAUAUCUAAGUCCUUUGGUGAUUAAAUCAGCCCUCUAAUCUUUAGUAUUGAUGUACUCUGAAUGAAUCUUCACUUACUUUCUCUUGUCUCUCACAAAAUGACAAUCUAUUUUUAUGUGUUUAGUUCUUUUAUGAAAUAUGGGAUUUGUUGCUAUUUGCAGUGUUGCUUUACUGUCAAAAUAUAUAUUGACUGGAGUAGUAAUUCACUCCUAAUUAUCUAAACAAACCUAGUAACCAAGUGACUUUUGAUGUAAUUGCUGCAAGGCUUCUGUAUUCUGCUUCAACAAAACUCCUUGAUACUGUUUGCUUCUUUUUUUAUUUCCAUGAAAUUAAGGAUUCACCAAACUUUAUCACAUAACCAGUCUGAACUUCUAGUGUUUAGGAAAGAUGCCCAAUCUACAUCAUAGGAAACUGUCAAGUGAUCUUCACCUUACUUCUUAAUAAAAUUCCCAUUCCCGAACUUUGCUUGACAUAUCUCACAAUCCUUAUUGUUGUAUGCCAAUGAGAUCUCUUGGGUGUUUACAUUAACUAGCUUAAUGUUUGCACAGUAAAUAUAAUGUCUGGUUUUGUAACUGCUAGGUAGAUUAAUCUUCCUAUCAGUCUUUGAUACUCUGUGAUAUCUUCCUGCACUGGAUCAUCUACUGGAGUACAUUUUUUAUUCAGAUCUAUAGGAGUGGAAAUUGGUUAGGCCUUCCUAAUCCUAAAUCUGAAAUUAGUUGAAGUGCAUACUUCCUUUGGUUCAGAAGAAUUCCUUUUAUUGACCUUAACAAUUCUAUUCCCAAGAAAUAUCUCAACUCACCUAGGUCUUUCAUCUUAAACUUUUGGCUCAACACCUUCUUUGUUUCAUUUAUGAACUCUUCCUAUUUCCUGUAAUCAACAAAUCAUCUACUAUUAGAGUUGUGACCAGAAUUUUGUUGGUAUAGUCUUGAAAGUUUACCACAUGUUUGUGAUUUUCAAUGAGGUCUAUAGUGACAGCAUAGUCGGCCCAAUCUCAGAGCCCACCAUUGAUCCCGCUGGGGUGUGGGGGUAAAGCCCUCGCGGUAUCGACCUUUAUGUUUUUGGGCCUAGGACUUAUUUGUAUGCACGUAUUACAUAAGAACAUUUAGUGGGCUAUUUUGGAUCAUUCAGAAAAAUACACUAAAUUGAGACAUAGUCUUCUUAUUGUACUCCUCUCAUUAUCGUGAAACUCCUCUGCCUCUGCCCAUGGUUUUUUUUGCAAGGGUUUUCACGUAAAUUUGUGUGUUCUUUUUUUUCUUUCUUCUUAUGGUUUGCUUUACUUCUUCCCGAUUUCUAACAUCUACAUAUAUCAAAACUGCCACAAACCUUUCUCCAUGGUUUUUAGUGAAUAAGGAGUAAUCAUAUUAGGCUUUUUUCAUAUCCAACUUCUAUUAAAGCUUUAGUCAACUUGAUUUUCUACUGUUUUGAUACCUUCUUCAAACCAUAUAAUGACUUCAUCAACUUACAUAAUUUACUCUCCCUUGGCUUCUUAACCCUUGUGGUAACACCAUGUACACUAUUUUAUAUAAAUCGCCUUGUAAAAAAAGAUUAUACACAUCCAUCCGAUACAUAUUCCAACCUCUCAUAGAAACUAAUGUAAUUAGUGAUCUUACUGUGACCAUCUUUGCAACUGGUGAAAAUAUGUCAUGGUUAUUAAGUCCUUCCUUUUAAUUGUAUCUUUUUUCAACCAAUUUUGCCUUGAACCUUUCCACCUCUCCAUUAGCUUUUUACUUUAUCUUGUACACCCAUUUUAAGCCAAUUACAAUUUUUCCCUUUGGAAGGUCUACUACUUGCCAAGUGCUAUUAUCUCCAAUGCUUUUACCUCUAAGUUCAUUGCUUUAAUCCACCUUUGAUCCUUUAAAGCUUCAUCCAAACUAGUAGGUCCUGCAUGAGAUGAAAUAUUGGCCAAAACACUUUAUACCUUUGAGAAAUCCCAUCAUAAGCAGCGUGAUCUGAACAGAGAAUACUUUACUAUUCCAUUGGCCCUCUUCUUGGUGAUAUCAUAGUCCUAAUGACAAAAAGGUUCCUUAGUGUUUCUUAUCGAUCUUAUAACUUUAGUAGGAAUAUUAUUGAUGAAUUAAGGUACAAUAAUUAGUGUUUCCACUUGCAGUAGGUCCUUCUUCUGCACCAAAAAUGUCUGUUUCAACCAAUUCAUUUGAGUUGUCUUUUUCAGCACCUCCAUUUUUGUUAUCAACCUCAUCAUGCUCUUCUAUGUGUUGAUCCAUAUCAUGUUUAGAACCUCCAUUAUUAUUAUCAACCUCAUCAUGCUCUUUCAUAUGUUGAUCCAUGUCAUAUUCUUUUAUUGUAUAAGAUACAACUAUUUUAGUGUUUGGCAUUGAUAUUUAAAAUGGCUUAAGAUCAAGAGCAAUUAGAUCAAUACCCUUUUCAUAAGAUGAAUGAGACACUUUAUGUAACGCCUCGAGCCUACACCCUAGGCGUCACAUGGUUCUUAUGACCCCAAAGGAUCACAAGCAAACCCAUGACUGGUACCUGUUAUGAGCAUUGAAUAAUAAUACUGAACAACAUAUAUGGAAAUAAAACUGAAAUGCCAUAAGGUUCUCAAAAUAAUGAAAUAAUAACUGAGUGUCUUGGAUAAUAACAUAUGAAAACUAAAAACUAACUGUGCUAGUCUGAAAGCCUCUAAUUUCCCAAAUAUGGAGUUGAUGGAAUAAGUCCCCAACUAACUCCGACUACUGAACAUACUGAAUCUGCUAAAAUUGUAAAAUAAAAAACUAUCCUCAAUGGAUGAGGACUCACUACUACAACUACUGCUGAUAGCCUAAGCUGUUACGUACGGUCAGGAACUUGAGCGUCCAAACCUAUGAUAUAAGAUAUCAUAGUGCAAAGAAAGAGUAUGCAUCAGUACGUAGAAUAUACUGGUAUGCCAAGUGAGGUAGGCCGAUAUACAUGGGUUUAUAUACAUGAGAUGAUAACUGACUGAAUGAACAUUGCGAAGUAAGCGGAUGAAAGUACAUGAAAAACUAUAACUACUGAACAUGCAAAAUAUGAAAUACUACGCAUAUAACGUCUGUCUGAAUUAGAUUAAAACUAAAGUACUGAGUUCUGGUAACUAAAAGUUUAGACUGAUACUAAAGUACUGAAUUCUGAUGGUUGUGUAAUUGAUAACUGAUAGCCAUGGUUCUGUAGAAUUAUCUUAGUUCUUUACUGAAUACUAGGACUAAAAUGGUAACUGUAGGAGUUUUUAUCUAACCGACAUACCCUGGUUGUUGACUGAGUUGGGAUCCAACCUGUGACCCCAGUUGAUAGGGUGUUAGCACCCUGCUAUGGGAUACUAACAAUACUGGGUCAACCCUAAUCUGGUAGGAAGACUCAUGAAAUAUAUAUAUGAUUGCAUCAACCCUAGUCUGGCAGGAGGACAACUUACCCUAUGUUGUGAUACAAGCAUAAACAACACAAGGAUUACAAGGUCUUAUCAAAGGUUCACGCUUUGGAUUGUCAAAGGUUUAAGCCUCGGAUUUGCAAGUGUCUAAAGACCUUUUGGAACCAUUACAAAGCCUUGUUCAAGUUGAAAAUUGGAGAAAGGGUCCUUACACUCCAAGGCCGCCUAUACUUGGGAUCGUUAAGGGAAAUAUUUUCUUUUGAUGAAUCUUUUUUAUACUCCAAAGGAGCACCCUUCAUUAAGGGUAUUUUAGUCUUUGUUUUUAAUAAGUUUAACUGGACCAUUUAGCUUCUAUUUUCAUUAGACUUAGAUGAAUUGAAAUUGAGUAUUACUCUUAGUAUAGUUUUCUCUUAGAUUAGUUAUAGAUCUUGGAAAAGACAUUAGAAUCAAGGUCAAUCUUGUAUUGGCAUUUUGGCAAAGAAAGGUGGUGCUUAAGGACUUGAUCCCUUUGGUCCACCUAAGAGUGAGGUUUAGUCCAAUAUUUGUGAGGUGUGUUUGAAGGUUUGAUACAUCUUCUAGUGCUAAUCAUUGGUGUUGGUGAGGGUCUCAUUACCUAUCCUUUAUAUUUAUUGCAUUUUUCUUCUUCUCUUUGUUGAAUCUGAAGUGUGUUUAUGUCCUCCACUUUAUCUUAUUUUUUCUAACUUAGUUUGUGUUGUUGACAACUCGGAUUCCAAGUGUUUAGUUGCUGGUUUUUGUGUUCUUUAGGAUAUUUCUUGUAUCAGAGCCAUAUAUUAGAGUUGUUCCCACAACUCUAAGUCUUGAAUUUAAGAAAACAUUCACAAAAAAGAGUCUAGAGUCAAAAAAUCCACAAAAAGAUUCAAAAAUCCAAAAAAAAACUCAAAAGAAGUGCAGAAUCUUAUGUGUUUGGUUGUAGAUCCGAAUUUCACAACUUAUAUCUACUAAUUUUUAGCUUGUUUUGAUAGUUUCUAGUGUUAGAUUCUUGUUCUGUAGGACUUAAAGUGUCUAGAUCUAAGUUUGGAAGAAGAUUAGGUUUUGUUUAAGCUAGAUCCACCAUUGUUGUGGAAUUUUUGAAGCUUUUGUGAAGUUAGUAACGUGUAAACUUAUGGUAUUCUGGACGUUUGUGACUAAUUUGUUGAUAUUUGAUCUUGUCUUGGCAAAGAGAACCUAGAUCUAAAAGAAAUAUUAAAUUUAGGGUUCAUUUGCCUAGUGGUUAAUCCUUGGUCAACUCUUGAAUAUUCAUAUUGUUCUUCAUCAUCUUCAAAUAUUGUUGAAGAAUAAUAUUCAAAGUCUUAAUUGGAUCCAUAAAAAGAAAUAAAGAAAAGGUGAAAGUUGUUUGUACAAAGAAUAUUCCCUACCAUAUUCACAAUCUUCCAUAAGAACAGGGGACAAAGGGAAUAUCAAAGUACAAUUGAAAGUACAAGGGGGGGACCAACUGUUUUCAAAUCCAUUUGAACUUGAAAAAGGGCUCCAAACCCUCCAUUUUCCCCCCCAAUUUCAUUCAUACACCUUCUUAAUUAGAGUGUGGCUGAGACAAGAAGAUUGAAAAAUUGAAAAUUUUUGAAAAAUGACAUCCAAUCACAAGCUGCGACGUCAUCACUUUGAUGACCAACCGAAUUGAGUUCAAAUUUAAAUUUCCUAGUUUCUAAUUGUUGUUUCUAGUUUCAAUUUUUUUGGUUCUAUCACUAAUUAGCAAACCAGUAAGUACCUACUAGGUUGGUAAUUAUUCUAGAGUUCGUUUUGUUUUAUGUCUUCAAUUUUUAUGUGUUUUUCUCGUUUUUAAUUCUUAGUAUCUUGUUGAUUCAAGUCCAAAAGCUGUUUUUCUUUAAGUCGUCUCAAAAAAAAAUCAAUUUCGGGCCAAAGUAGAAUCAUCCCUCAUUCACUUGCCAAAUAUUUGCCAAGGUAUCAAUACUUGAAAGACCAAGUAUAGGUAAAGCUAAGUCUGAGAGGGUGAGGCAUUAUUGAACUAACUUGUUUGUUCGUUUUGUAGGUUUUUAUUUCUUGAGUUUCAUAGGUACAUUACUCAUGGAAUCCGUGGGAUCAAGUACUCCUUCACUCGGGAAUGAUGCUUUGAAAGUCUUGUUAGCUCGGUUUGAUGCAUUUUCCCGUGACUUGAAGGGUGGGGUUUGACAUUAUAAAGGGUGACUUGAGAUCCAUGAAAGGUGAUUUGGGAUCCAUGAUAGGUGACAUGAUUAGAAUUAAAGCAGUGGUUGAUAGACUAUGUCCACUAAAACCUCCACAAAAUUCAAACCACCAAGUCCCAAAUCCACUUGAACAAAGACCCUACACUCAACAAAACCCCAUGCCAUAAAUCUAAACCCAUCAUCAACCAAAUCUAAUGCCUCCUCUCCACAAGUUAGAAUCUAAGGAGAAUGAGGUCAAGCCUCAAGAUGGAGAGAAACUUAGUGAUGCGAUACAAGAAGAAUGUGAAAAGAAGAGGAAGAGGGAAAGGAAAACAUGGGUAGUGAAGUUUGAAGGGGAAAGUAAUGCUUGAUUGUGGAUCUUGUCCACAAAGAAUCCUUGUUACUCGCUAACCCGAAUGCUAGCACCUUUUCCUAGCAUUAAUUCUAUUUAUGUGCAGGUAUAAGAUAGUAUGAUUCCAAAGAAAAAUGCAAGUGAAGUCCCUCCAAAACAUGUCGGUGUUCCAAGUGCACUCUUGGCCGAGAGUACAAGGCACACGGGCUGACCUAGUACAAAACAAAGUCACUAUGGUACAUUCUACACUCCCUAAAGUUUAAAAUGUUAUGAUGUGGCUAUUAGUAGCCAAGGUGAUGUGAUUUCGGGUUUACCUAGUGUAGAAAUACAUGAAUCUCUCCUUGGUAGUUCUCUUGUUGCGUAUAAUGCUCAAUGUGGUCCUAAGAAUAGCUCACUACUUGAACAAGUGAAUGACAUGAUUGAAAAUCCUCAAGUUGGUGUUCAUACUUGUAAUGUUGAUCAUGAUAUUAGGUAUGCUUCUUUGAACUUGUGUGAUGAAAGUCGUGAUAUUAGCCUAGUUCAUAGUGAUCAUGUGUAUGGCAAAGUUGUGAGUAAUGCCUUGGUAGAUUAUGAUUUUGAUCUUCUAGCACAAGGGAUGUGUAAUCUCGAUUUAUACCCUUAGCUACAUCAUCCAUUUGAUCUCUUUACACUAGUAGGGUGGAGAAGGGAUUGUCGCAGUUUGUGCUUGUUUUCCUUUGAUAUUUACUUUGACCCUAUCCUUAGUGAUGUAUAUACUAAGUACUUCAUGAACAAAAUAAGGGAUUUCUGGUUGUAUUUUAAAAGUGAACCCCCUCGACAUUAUGUCUUCACACUUGAUUCCUUCCUAUACUACCUCUUUACCUAUGAUGCUAACCAUGUUAAUUUUGAAUUGUUAAUAUGUAGAGGUAGGAAUUUUGGUGGCUGGUUUCCAUGUUGGAAUGAUAUUUGUAGUUUUGGGUAUAGCAAAGCCAUUAAGACCUUGUAGUUUCCUUAUCUCUUGAUAUUUGUCAAAGCCACUUCCUUUGUGCCAUUCAUGCUAAGCUCUUCAUGUCACACUCAAAGGACCUAUGAAUAUAUUUUAAAUGUGAACAACCUUAGCUUGAUGAUAUAUGUGAUAAUAUAGUAUUGUAUUCCUUACUACUUGAUGUCUAUAUUAGCCAUGUCCUUUGUUAUUAUCAUACUAAAUGUUUCAUUUUCAAAACAAAGGAUUGCUGGUUGUAUAUCAAAAGUGCACCCCCUUGGCGUGCUUAUAUUAAUUGUUACACUGUCCCUAACCCUCUUAUCUUGAGAAAUGUGUGCUUGUAUUCCCUUUCUUUGGUUUUGGAAGGUUUGAAUUUGAGGUUAAAUUCCUUUCAAGAUGGAGAGGAUGGUACAAGCAUAAAGAGCACAAGGAUUACAAGGUCUUAUCAAAGGUUCACGCUUCGGAUUGUCAAAGGUUCAAGCCUCAGAUUUGCAAGUGCUUGAAGACCUUUUGGAACCAUUCAAAGCCUUGUUCAAGUUGAAGAUUGGAGAAAGGGUCUUUACACUCCAAAGCCGCCUAUACAUGGGAUCAUUAAGGGAAAUAUUGUAUUUUGAUGGCUCUCUUUUACACUCCAAAGGAGAACCCUUCAUUAAGGGUAUUUUAGUCUCUGUUUGUAAUAAGUAUAAAUAGACCAUUUAACUUCUAUUUUCAUUAGACUUGGAUGAAUUGAAAUUGAGUAUUACUCUUAAUGUAGUUUUCUCUUAGAUUAGUUAUAGGUCUUGGAAAAUACAUUAGAAUCAAGGUAAAUCUUGUAUUGGCAUUUUGCAAAGAAAGGUGGUGCUUAAGGACUUGAUCCCUUUGGUCCACCUAAGAGUGAUGUUUAAUCCAAUAUUGGUGAGGUGUGUUUGAAGGUUUGAUACACCUUAUAGUGCUAAUCAUUGGUGUUGGUGAGAGUCUCAUUACCUAUCCUUUACAUUUAUUGUAUUUUUCUUCUUCUCUUUGUUGAAUCCGAAGUGUGUUUAUGUCCUCUACUUGAUCUUCUUUCUUCUAACUUAGUUUGUGUUGUUGUCAUCUCGGAUUCCAAGUAUUUAGUUGCUGGUUUUUGUGUUCUUUAGGAUAGUUCUUGUAUCACGCUGGCUACAUAGUUCUGUAAUGGAAGAAUUGCUACUAAGGUUCAAACCCUCUGCUAGCCCCUAUCCCUAGGUUUUCUCGGUGCUAAAUCCUACUCCCAACUGAAUCGAUACUAAACUGAUCACUAGAUUGUACUAGGAUUAACUGAAGUGACACUGAUCGUGUUGAAUGACUGAACUGGACUGAGUUCACUGAGUUCUGCUAACUGACUGAGUACUACUGUUCUUAAUCUUUACUAGAAUGAUUCAAUAACUACUGCAACUAGGUAAACAACUAGAUUUUGUGUAAUAAAUACCCCCAGGAUUCGAUAGCAUAAUGGAUGAAAACAUAGCAAAUCUUGAAAGCAUAGCAAUAGUCAAUUGUUCACAAUUCAUUCAUUGAGUCAUUUUGUCAAACACUUAGAGGUCAUGAACUUGUACAUGAUUGAGAACACACGCUAACAUGUCAUGAUUUCAUUAUUUAAUUCACAUGGAAAUUCUAUCAAACACUUGGGAAGCAUAAUUAAUUCACAUGAUAAUGUACAACACAUAAGCAUUAUUACUACAACUUAAACUUGCAAAUUUAAGGGUUUUGACAUGAAAUAUUCAUAAUUAAAUACACAUGCUAACAUAAUUUCAUGGAACCCAUAAAAGAUCUCAACUUGAAAUCCAUACAACAACUCAAACAUAGGCAUAAUUCAAUUCAUAACAUGAAAAUCAUAAUUCAUGUUUUUGAAAAGGUUUUUGAACUCCAAGGGUGGAAGGAGACUCAAGGAUGAACACCUAACAUACUUGAGUGACAGAAUUUGUGAGGGUGGUUGGGGAUUUCUUAGAAUUUUAUCGUGAGCUUGGUGAACUAGGGUUUCUUUCUUGAGAGAUUUUUGUGAUGUAGUGAGUGAAUUUACCCUUUCGGAAGCUUGAUCUCGUGUUAAGUAUGAGUAAUAUAAGGGGAAAAUGACCUAUUUACUCCCAUAACCCAAAUAAAAAAAUACUGGACGGGGUCCCCAUCACACUGUGACCCCUACUUGGGUCAAGAGGCCCUCGCUGCACGACCCCUUCUCAGGUCAAACAGCCCUCGCAGCACGGCCCGAAGCCUAGGUCAACUGGCCCUUGAGGCAUGGCCUAUAGCAACCCCUUGCUGUUUUGGACAUCCAAACUCACCCUUACACUAGUCCGAAAAAAUCCAAAACUCACCUGAGAUGACCUGCAAGUGACCCUGAUCAUGAAUCAACUUGAAAAUUGGUGUCGUAAGACCGAGAAGGUCGAAUUAAAAUUCAUUGAAUUUUGAGGACUCUAGAAAUGACUAAGUCCUAACACUUUGUAAAAUAUUCCAAGUCCUAGACCCCUUUCUACAUACAAGAAUGAGCUAAAACGAACCUACCAUCUUACGGGGUCUUACAAUAUCUCCCUCUUGGGAACAUUCUUCCGCGAAUGAGACUGACAGAAUCGAGAGAAACUGUACUCACACUGACAUGCAUCACUAAAGCAUAACUGAAUUCUAGAAACAUGACACAUGACUGAACUGUUUCAUAAAUGCAUAAAUGACAUGAGAAUAUUAUGCAGUUGUAACUGAGCAUGGAAUAGAGUAAAUCUAAGAAAGACUGUUACCUUAGGCUGAUUUUGAGUUUGCAAAAAGAGGUAAGGAUACUUGGCUCGUAUGUCUGCUUCUGCUUCCUAAGUAGCUUUCUUAACGAACUGAUUCUGCCAAAGAACUUUGACCAAAGAAACUUCUUUGUUCCUUAGUCCGUGAACAUGACAAUAAAGGAUUUUGACUGGGGUUUCCUCAUAAGAGAGUCUAUUUUGAAUAUCUACACUCUCUAUAGGGACUACAACUACUGGGUCGCCUAUGCACUUCUUUAGCAAGGAGACAUGAAACAUUGGGUGCACUGAUGCUUAGUCUGCAGGUAACUGAAGCUCAUAAGCUACCUUACCAAAACAACUGAGAAUCCUAUAAGGACUAAUAUAUUGGGGACUAAGCUUCCCCUUCUUGCCAAAUCUCUUCACUCCCUUCUUGGGAGAGAUUUUCAAAUACACAAAGUCGCCAAUCUCAAACUCAAGAUCUUUCCUUCUCACAUCUUCAUAUGAUUUUGUCGGCUCAGGGCUGUCUUAAACCUCUCUCUGAUCAACUGCACUUUCUCUACAGUAUCAAACACCAAGUCAGGCCCCACUACCAUGGCCUCAGCUACUUCAAACCAACAAUUGGGAGAUCUACAUCUCAUUCCAUAAAGAGCCUCAAAUAAAGCUAUAUGAAUACUAGAAUGAUAUCUGUUAUUAUAUGCGAACUCAAUCAAAGGUAAGAAAUCAUCCCAACUGCCCUUAUAGUCAAUGACACAUGCUCUCAACAUAUCUUUUAAAGUCUGAAUGGUCCUUUUUGCUUGACCAUCUAUUUGAGGGUGGAAGGUUGUACUGAGGUGAACUUGUGCACCAAGACCCUUUUGGAAGGCUUUCCAAAAGUGAGAGGUAAACUGUGUACCUCUAUCUAAAAUGAUGGACAAUGAGACAUCGUACAACCUAACCAACUCUCUGAUACAGAGCCUGGCAUACUCCUCGGCUAAAUAAGAAGUAUGAACUGGCAAGAAAUGGGAUGAGUUGGUCAUCCUAUAUAUAAUGACCCAAAUCAAAUCGUGCUAACAACGAGUAUGUGGAAAACCCACCACGAAGUCUAUGUUCACUUCCUUCCACUUCCAUAUGGGAAUACUUAACUCUUGCAUAGAACCACUAGGCUUCUGAUGCUUAAUCUUAACCUGCUGACAUGUGGAGCUCUUAGCUACAAACUCUGUAAUAUCUCUCUUCAUCCCACUCAACCAAUAGACUUUUUUACAAAUUGCGGUACAUCUUCGUGGCCCCUGGAUAAAUCAAGUAAUGCACACCAUGCACUUCUGCAAGAAUUCGCUGCCUCAAGCCAUCUCCACAUGGCAUACAAAGUCAACCCUGGCAGCGUAAUACACCAUCUCCCCCUUGGGAGAAAACUUCUACCUUAUGAUUCUGAUUGGCUCUUUUAGCUUAACUAAAUUGGGAUCCCUGUCUUGCUUUUCCUUCACCUUAGAAACUAAAGAAGACUCCAAACUAUUUUGCACCCAAACACUAUCCUCAGCCGAAUCAACCAAACAGAUACCUAGUCUGGCAAGCUAAUAAACUUCCUGAACUAACUUCUUCUUACCAUCCUUAAUGUGAGCAACAUUACCUAUGGAUAACAUACUAAGGGCAUCUGCCACUAUAUGGGCCUUACUUAGAUGAUACAGAACACUCAUGUUAUAAUCUUUCAACAACUCUAACUACCUUAUCUAAUGCAAGUUCAAGUCUUUCUGAGAAAAUACAUACUACAGGCUUUUGUGGUUUGUGAACACAUCAACUUGCACUCCAUACAAAUAGUGCCUCCAAAUUUUUAAGGCAAACACAAUAGGUGCCAACUCAAGAUCAUGGGUGGGAUAAUUCUUUUCAUGGGGAUUAAGCUAUCUAGAGGCAUAGGCCACAACCUUACCCUUCUGCAUCAAAACACACCCCAAACCAACUCUAGAAGCAUCACAAUAUACAACAAAUCCAUCUGAACCAUUAGGCAAAAGUUAAAAUUAGGGUUGUAGUGAGUCGAGUCUUCCACUCCUAAAAACUCUUCUCACAAGAAUCUGACCAAUGGAACUUGACUUUCUUCUAGGUCAAUCUAGACAUGUGAGAUGAAAUAGACAAAAAUUCUUUAACAAACCAUCGGUAAUAGCCAUCCAAACCCAAGAAACUCCUAAUAUCUGAUAGAGAGAUAGGUAUGGGCCAGUUUAUCACUGCUUCGGUCUUUUGAGGAUCAACUUUAAUGCCAUCACCGGAAACUAUAUGACCAAGGAAAACUACUGAACUUAGCCAAAAUUUGCAUUUAUUGAAUUUGGUGAACAACUGCUGGUCUCUGAGAGUCUGUAAUACUAUUCUGAGAUGGUCUAUGUGAUUAUUUUCACGGUGGGAGUAGACAAGAAUGUCAUCAAUGAAGACUAUGACAAACAUAUCUAAGUACUGCUUGAACACUCAGUUUAUCAAGUCAACGAAAGCUGCUGGGGCAUUGAUAAGACCAAAUGACAUGACUAGAAAUUUGAAGUGACCAAAUGUCAUAUUCUCUGACUCUGAGCUGAUGAUAGCCUGAUCUGAGGUUUAUCUUUAAGAAGUAACUGGCACCCUGAAGUUGGUCAAACAAGUCAUCAAUUUUAGGAAGUGGAUACUUGUUCUUGAUGGUGACUUUGUUCAAUUGACGGUAGUCAAUAAACAUUAUGAGAGAACAAUAUUUCUUAUGCACGAAUAGAACUGGUGCGCCCCACGAAGAGACGCUGGGAUUGAUGAAUCCCUUAUCUAGGAGAUCCUUAAAACUUUUUUUCAACUCUUUAAGUUCAGCUGGAGCCAUUCUGUAUGGUGGAAAAGAAAUGGGUUGAGUAUCAGGAAGAAGGUCUAUUCUGAAGUCAAUUUCCCUUUCGGGAGAAACUCCAAGAAGAUCAUCAGUAAACACAUCUGGAAAUUCACGUCCGACUGGAACUAACACAAGGUUAGUAGUCUCAGAACUAGAGUCUAUGACUCGCGCAAGAUGAUAGAUACACCCCUUGGAUAUCAUUUUUCUCAUCCUAAGGUAAGAAACAAGCAGACCCUUAAGCGCUAUGGUGCUACCCCUCCACUCUAGGACAGGUUCAUUUGGGAACUGAAAAUGGACAACUCUAUUUCUACAAUCAACUGAGGCAUAGCAUGAAUGGAGCCAAUCUAUGUCGAGAAUGACGUCAAAAUCCAUAAUCUCUAACUCUACUAAGUCUGAUAAAGUAACUUUCUGAGACACAAUAACCAAACAGUUCCUAUAUACCCACCGAGCUAUGUUAGACUUACCCACUGGGGUAGAGACUGAGAAGGGCUCUGCUAGGAUUUUGGGACUUAUUCUGAAGUCAACAGCUAUAUAAGAAGUUGCAAAGGACAAAGAAGCUCCUGGGUCUUACAAAGCAUAAACAUGUAAAUAAUAAACUUGUAAUGUACCAGUAACCACAUCAGGAGAACUUUCCUGAUCCUAUUAGGACUGAAUUGCAUAGAGACUAUUUGGGCGUUGCCCACUGGUGGCACUAGAAGUAACACCCUGCUGAGACAGGAGACUUGACUGAGCUAGGGGACGAUUAUGCUGACUCUAUGAACCCACCUGAGAACAUUCUCUGAUCCUAUGGCUUGGCUUGCUAUAUCCGAAACAUACAUCACUGCCAGCUCUAGAGACAUCCUGAUGGUUUCUGCCACACUUCUGACAAAGAAGAUUUGUUUGAGCACUGCUAACACUACCCUAAGAUUUAGAACCUGGAACCCUAUCCUUAUUACCAUUUUUGAAUUUAGGCACCAAAGCACUGGUUGGGGAUGAAACUUGGACUAAAGAUUUCAAGUAGAACUAAGGACGAUUACUACCCUAUGACUUAGGCUGAGUGAAAUUGAAGCUACUUGUUCUAGCCUUCUUACUUUUCUUCUCUUUAUCCUUAGUUUUUUACUGCUCUAUAUAUUGAUCAUGGACCACCAAUAUAGCCAAGUACAUCUCUAUAAUCAGCACUGCGAUCCUACACUCCUUGACCACACUAUCAGGUACACCAUACAUGAACUUACUCAUCUUAGACCUGCUAUCAGCUACAACAUAAGUAGCAUAUCUGGCUAACUAAUUAAACUUGAGAGAAUACUUCUUCACUUUCAACCUACCCUACUUUAUGUUGGUAAACUCUAACACCUUAGCCUCUCUCAAUUCCAAUGGAAAUAACUUAUCUAAAAAUGCAUUAGCAAAAUCUUCUCAUUCUAUAUGCCCUGCAUCUGUGGCCCUAUCUACCUUCCACUGUUUAAAUAAUGCAUGAGCCAUAUCCUACAAGUGAUAGGUAGUUAACUCAACACUCUCACUAGUGGUCCAUAAUGUUUUUUACCUUCUGCACCAUGUCAAGGAAUUCUUGUGGGUCCACUUUAGACUUAGACCCUGAAAAUAGAGGAGGGUUCAUUUGGGUGAAGUCUUGAAUUCUAGAUGCAGUAGUAUUGGACACUAGGUUGGCCUGAACAGUAGCUAGGAAUUCAUUAUGGGCUACCACAGAAUGGUUUAGAGUGGUUAACGCUGCUCUAAUUCUGCGAGAGAAACAUGCUCAUUCAAGGGAUCUUCCUGAAUGGGUAGAGGUGCUGGCUUGUUUCCAAAUCUUCUUUUUUUAGUAUUUUUGGGAGUCAUGUUCUAUAAACAAAAGGGAAAAUUGGAUUAGACUAAGAUUUGAACUUAAGAUCAUGCUCACUCACACACAUAAAUGCUGAAAGAAUGGAACUUUUCCACAAAAAUGCCUCAUAGACUCUUGUUCAUAAGUGUAGUGCGCUACACACCUAUGCACAAGACUCUACUUAAUGUGAAAUUCAAACUCCCUAGGACUCUUUAGAAUCUUAGGCUCUGAUACUAAGUUUGUGACACCUCAAGUCUACACCCUGGGCAACACAUGGUGCUUAAGACCCCGAAGGAUCAUAAGCUAACCUAUGAUUGGUACCUACUAUGAGCACUAAAUAAUAAUGCCGAACAACAUAUGCAAAAGUAAAACUGAAAUGCCAUAAGGUUCUCAAAAUACUGAAAUAAUAACUGAGUGUAACUGAUAAUAACAUUAGAAAACUAAAAAUUGACUGUGUUUUUCUGAAAGCCUCCAACUGUCUGAAUAUGGAGUUGAUGGGACAAGUUCCCAAAUAACUCCGACUACCAAACAUACUAAAUCUGCUAAAAUACUUAAAUAAAAUAAUAUCCUUGAUGGACGAGGACUCACUGCUACAACUACUGUUGAUCGCUUGAGCUGCUAUGUAUGGUCAGGAACCUGAGGGUCCAACCUAUGAUAUGAGAUAUCAUAGUGCAAAGAAAGAUUAUGCACUAGUACGUAGAAUGUACUAGUAUGCUAAGUAAGGUAGGAUAAUAUAAAUGGGUACAUAUGCAUAAGAUGAUAACUGAUUGAAAGAAUAUUAUGAAGUAAGUCGAUGAGAGUACAUACAAAACUAUAACUGCUGAACAUGCUGAAUAUGCAAUACUGUGCAUAUAAAAUCUAUCUGAAUUAAACUAAAAUUAAAGUACUAAGUUCUAGUAACUAAAUACUGGUAACUAAAAGUUUAGACUGAUAAUAAAGUACUGAAUUUUGAUGGUUGUGUAACUGAUAACUGAUAGCCAUGGUUCUGUAAAACUAUCUGAGUUCUUUACUGAAUACUAAGACUAAAAUUAUAACUGUGGGAGUGUUCAUCUAACUGACAUACCCCGGAUAUAGACCGAGUUGGGGUCCAACCUGUGACCCCAGUUAGAAAGGUGUAAUCACCUUUCCACAGGGUACUAACAAUGCUGGGUCAACCUUAAUCUGGUAGGAAAACUCAUGAAAUAUAAAUAUGAUUGUGUCAACCCUAGUCUGGCAGAAGGAUAACUUACCCUACAUUGGCUACGUAGUUCUGUAUUAUAGGGACUACUACUUAGGGUCAAACCCUCUGCUGGUAGGAAUGCCUCCAUCAUUGGGUUCGCUCGAUGCUGAAUCUUUUUCCCAACUGAAUUGACAUUGAACUGAUCACUAAACUGUACUAGGCUUGACUGAACUGACACUAAUCAUGUUGACUGACUAAACUAGACUGAGUUCACCGAAUUUUGCUAACUAAUCGAGUGCUACUAUUCUUGACCAUUACUAGUAUGAUUCUAUAACUAUUGCAACUAAGUAAACAGUUAGAUUUUGGGUAAUAAAUACCCCCAGGACUCGAUAUAAUAAUGGAUAGAAACAGAGCAAAUCUUGAAAGCAUAGCAAUAGUUAGUUGUUUACAAUUCAUUCAUUGAGUUAUUUUCUCAAACACUUGGAUGUCAUAAACUUGUACAUGAAUGAGAACAGAUGCAAACAUGUCAUGAUUUCACUAUUCAAUUCAUAUGGACAUUCUAUCAAACUCUUGGGAAGCAUAAUAAUGCACAUGAUAAUAAACAACACAUAAGCAUCAUGAAUACAACUUAAACUUGUAAAUUCAAGGGUUUUGACAUGAAAGAUUCAUAAUUCAACACAUAUGCUAACAAAAUUUCAUGGAACCCAUAAAAGAUCUUAACUUGAAAUCCAUACAACAACUCAAACAUGGGCAUAAUUCAAUUUAUAAUAUGGAAAUCAUAAUUCAAGUUUUUGAAAAGGUUUCUUGAACUCGAAGGGUGGAAGGAGACCCAAGGAUGAACACCUAACAUACCUGAGUGACAAAAUUCAUGAAGAUUGUUGGGAAUUUCUUGGAACUUGAUCUUGAUCUUGAUGAACUAGGGUUUCUUUCUUGAUAGGAUUUUGUGAAGUAGUAAGUGAAUUUGCCCUUUGGGAGGCUUUAUCUCGUGUUAAAGAUGAAUAAUGUAAGGGGAAAUGACCUAUUUUCCUCCACAAACCUGAAUAAAAAAAAUGUUAGAUGGGGUCCCCAUCACACCGCGUCCCCUACUUGGGUCGAGCGACUCUCACGGCGUGUCCCUAUUGCGAUCCCUUGCUAUUUUAUUCAUUCAAACUCACCCUUACGCUUGUCCAAAAAAUUUGAAACUCAGCUGAGAUGACCUACAAGUGAUCCUGAUCAUGAAUCAACUUGGAAAUUGGUGUUUUAAGACUGCAAAUAUUGAAUUAAAAUUCAUCAAGUUCAAGGGCUCUAGAAAUGACUAAGUCCUAAGACUUAGUAAAAUAUUCUAAGUCUUGGACCCCUUUCUAAAUGCAAGAAUAAGCUGAGACGAACCUAGCAUCUUAUGGGGUAUUACACUUCAAUAGUGGAUGAAGCAAUAACAAAUAGAUAUAUGUGUUCCUUGAAUAGCACAUCCAUGCAAACACAAAAAUGAUUAGAAGAAAUAUCCAGUAGCUUAUAGUCUUUCUGUGUUUCUGAGUAUUCCAUGAAUACACAAGCCUUUGCUCUAGGUGAGAACUUAUUCUUAGUGACAAGUUCUAUGGCAUAACACAAACACCCAAACACUCUCAAGUGAGCAAUAGAUGGUGGUCUAUCAUACAACAUCUCAUAUGGUGUAUUCCCUUUCGAUACCUCAAAAAGAAGUCUAUUAAUAAGGUAUCCUAUAGUGAUUUCAUGUCCUCCCCAAAACCUUGUUGGGACACUUCCUAAAAACUUUAAGGCCUGAGCAACAUCUAAUACAUGCUUAUUCUUUCUUUUAGCUAUCCCAUUCUACUGAGGAGUAUACACAUAACUACUCUGAUGAACUAUACAAUAUUCAAUAAAUAGUUCAUCUAUUUAGUUGUUAAAGAACUCAGUUCCAUUAUUUGUUCUUAUUGAUUUAACAGAAUAUAUUAACUGUGUUAGAAAAAAUAAAAGGAACUUCUUUAAGACAACAAUCACAUCACUUUUAUUUUGCAACAAAUGUAUCAAAGUAUUUCUUUAAUUAUCAUCAAUAAUAUUUAGGAAAUAAUGCUUUCUAUCUUGUGUAGGGUACUUGUAUAGACCCCAUAUAUCCAUAUGCAAAACACUAAGAGGACUGUCAUUCCUUAUAGGAAAUAUGAGUCUACUUUAUUUAGCAAUAGGACACAUUGUACCAUCAGUAUUUACUUCUAUAUCUAUCACCUUAUUUUGAAGGUAUUUUACAUUCUUCAUGGUGCUGACAGAUGUAUGACCUAGCUUCUUAUGCCACAAGCUUCCAUCUACUACUAUCUUAUCCUUAGUAGUAUUUGAGAUAACCUUCUUAAUUUUGGUAUAUUUAUUGUCCUUGAUGAUGUACAAGCCCUUACUCUCCUUACCAGUCCUCUUCACCCUACCACUGUAAAGGUCCUGAAGUACAAAAAAAUCAGGAAAGAAUUUGUCAGAGCAAGCAAGGCUUUGUAAACUUGGAUACUUAUAGGAGAUUAUACUUUAACUUAGGGACAUGAAGUAUAUUGUUAAGUUGCAAAUCAUCUAACAAUGAUACACUACCAAUGUGUGCAAUUGUAGUUUCUUCACUGGUAGGCAAGUAAUACACCCAAAUUACAGUUCUCGUUAGAAAGUGUAAGCGGUCGCUGUAAAAUAUGGAACCCAACUAGGUUGGGGUCAAAUACCACAGGAAAUACCAUGCAAACUAAGUGUUAUAGUUUUUAACAGACUUUUGAUCGAAGGUUCCUGAGUAAGGGGUUUUUUGACUUUGUAAUGGUGUUUGAAUAGUUGUAAUAAGUAGCAUUCCAGCUAGUGAAUUUUAUUAUGAGUACUAACUCAAUGAGAUCAAAUAAACUAGAGUUAUGUUCACCGAAAUUUUCAAAUAGAUGGGGUUGUGAAUUAUCUUAAAGUCCCAAUUUACAACUUCAAUUGCAAGAGUUAUUGAACUCUAAAGUUUACCCAUUUGUUUCUCAACCUAAAUGGAUAGUUUAUCCUUUAAUUCUUUUGAGCUCAAAGAAUAUAUCAAUUUAUUCAAUUAAUCUCUUAUGUGAGCCAAUCCUUGUUAAGGCAUCAACUCAUAACCCAUAGGUUAAGACCUUUAAACUUCAUGUAAACUCCUUAUUUUCACAACAUAUACUUUUCUUCUCAGACAAGUAAUGUUCUUGGGCUCAUGCUUCAAGUUUGCAACCAAGAAGGGUUAUUAAUGUGAACAAGGGUUUAUACAAUCUCAAUUGCAUAUGGAAAUUAAACAUUCUUACAACCCCAAUUAGUUAUUCACAUCAAGGCUCCCAUAACCCUAGUUAUGGGAGUUUAGCCACGCAUAUCAAGAGAAGAAGAAGAGGAAAUCAUUGUGUUAUCCAUAAAUAGAUUCAACGAAUUACUUACAAAAGUUACAAUAAUUGUUUUUGAAUCUUUAAUGAGAAUCUGAAUAAAGAUAACUAGAUCAAUAAUUUUUGCUUGAAUCAUAGAGAAUAAUACGUACAAUAAUGUUUUUCGCUGAAAAAUAUCUAAAAGUAUACCUAAAUAAAAACUAAACUGGGUAUUUAUAUGUUCCCAGGUACAAAUAAUUUAAAAUUCUAACUCAGUAAAGCCGCAUCAAAGUUGACGGCCCAUCAGAAUCUUGACGGUCCUUCGCGUGGACCGUCGCUGAUGGUCCCAAGGUGCCAUGUUCUGGUAAGGGUUGACGGUCAGGUUGGCGGACCGUCGCUGGACUGGCGGUCCAUCUCAUGGGCCGUCUCUUGAUCCUCUAAAAUUCUAUGUUCUGUUUUAGCCUGACGGCCAAGCUGACAAUCCAUCGAAUGUUUGAUGGUCCGCCACUUGGACCAUCACAGGGGCCACUCAUUUUUUCCUUUAUAUUUAACUCUGACGGUCACCCUGACGGUCGAUCACAUGGUUGAUGGUCUGCCAGUUUUACCAUCAAUGGCCUUUUUCUGCUACUUUUCCUAGUUUAUUCUUCAUCUAACUCCUUAACCUGAAAACACUAAAAUCCAAUAUUAAAUACCGUCAAUGUCAAAUGUUUCGUCAAAAGCCAGAAUAUCAACACCCUCAACUUAAGACAAUUGUUUCUCCUUAAGCAACUCAGCGCCAAAUUGCAUACAUAAAUAACACAAUGACAAGAAAUCAACUAUUAAAAUAGAUUUCACACAACCAUUUACUUGUCAUCUCACUCAUGUGAGCUCAACACAUCAGGAUCUACAAUUGAAAUUGUUUAAAGUUUGUCAUACUCAAACAAACAUGGAUAUAAUAUCCUAUAGAGAUCAGCAGAACUAAUUAUAACUCAAGUUGCCUCACAGUCAAUAAAGUUCACCACUCAUUAUAUCUUCUGGAUGAAAAUCAAGACUUUCACACUCAUCAAAGAAGUUACAAUCAUUGCAUAUACAUCCAUAGGCUUUCCCUUAUCAUCUUAUACUCCCUUAUGAUUGAUUUACAAAGAUCAAGCAGGUCUUUUUCAGGCUUGUAAUGAGGUUCCAAGGAUAGGUGAGGAUAAAUUUUUAGGAAAAGUGACUUAACGUUCAGACUUAACUCUCUUUGCCCUUGAAUUUUAUUCACCAAGGCUACUACUUUUCCAACUCACUAACAGUCUCUGUCAUUCACACUUUACCAUGAAUUUUUUUAAGCCUCAGCCACCCUCAACUUAUACUGAUGUUGUCUGUCUAGGUGCACAAUAUCUUAAAUAGAUCAGGGGCCGAAUGCUUCAUUUUAGCUCUAAACCACUCUUUCGUUAAAUUACUAAUGUUUUAACAGUAAUCACCCUCAACUUAGGUGUUUUGCCUAAGUUAAGGUGCACAUUAUGCAAUCUUGGACCAGGGCCAAAGUUAGGUGUUAACAACUUAAAGAGUUAAUUAGAUUUAUUGGGUACGAGAAAAAAACUAACAUAAGCUCAAAAAGGGUUCAAAAAUGGUAAAAUAUUUUUGGUGGAUCAGUUAUUUCGGCUAAGUGGACUGAAAGUACAAGGAAGCCUGCUAUCAUCUCUUAUUAAAUCAACCACAAAACAACAUCAAUGAACUGGGAAAGUUCUAGGUACAUAAUUAUGGAAGAACUACCAUAAAUGCUCGCACACACAGGUAAAUGAGUUACACUUAUUCUACAAACUUUUGGGAUUUACAUCACAUGGUCAUGCACCCUUUACAUCCUAAUGCCAAUUACAAAAUUCACCAAUGGUUGUUCAACAUAUGCAAACUAACAAGAGGAAAUAGUCAUACAAACAUGUUCAUAGUCUUAUGCCAUAGUCAUACAUCAUCCAUAUAUACAAAAAAAAUACUAAAAGAAAAUACACUUUCAUAAAUAACAUCAACAACGAAUAUUUACAUCACAACCUAAGAAAAGAAAAUGUAAUCCUAGACAUGUCAGUUCUACUAGAUAGCACACCUGAGAAAAACAACACAGGAAAAAAAAAUCCCAUGGUACAAGUACACUCACCCCAUAUAAAAUAAAUGCAUUGUCCUUAAUGUAUGUAAAUAAAGUACAGAGGAGGGGAAUACUUGUAAAGCCUUUUAUUCAGAUGAGGCAUCAGUCAAAUGUGGUGAGGCUUCAUGGGCCUCACCUGCAGCAACGUUGACCCCUAUGGUGGUAGGGGUACUCACAAUAUCUUUCUCCGAAAUUAAAGGCAUGUCAACACGAACUGGGUCUGAAAUGGGCCCCUUAGCUGGGACAGAACUGGUGGAAACUCCUGCAACUUUAUCUGCAAGAUUCUUCUAUCUUAGCUCGUUAUCUCACUUUGAUCUUUUCAUGGAUUUCCUUAUGUUUUACGCUUCUCUCUUUUCUGGUGUCAUCCCUUCUCUCCUUUUUCUUUUAGCAGCUUUUUUAUUAGCAGUUUCAUCAAUUUGCUUAUCUUUAUCCUUUAGCGGCAUCCCCAUCAAAUCAACAAUACCUUUAUCUUUAUGACUUAUCACUAGAGUAGGGUCAAAAAUGGGCUGCUGGGUCUGUUCGCUUUUCAACUCAGCUAUGUCCGCCUGUGCUUAUUUGAAUUCUGCCAUGAACUUUGCCAAAUCUGGAAUAGACAUCACAUCCAUCAUUUUAUUGAUACAUUCUUCCAUAUGAUCCAUCCUAGUCUAAAUGUUUUGAAAGGGGCUGAUGGCUUCAGCUACAAUACAGUCAACAAAAGGCUUGCACUGCAAGGCCCAUGUAUCUAGCUACUUCUACAACUUUUUCUGUAGCUUAACAGACUUGGCAAAAUUUUCCUGUGUUAAGUUUUAGUAAGAAUACUGAGGUGGGACAAAUGUAAAGUCUACAGUCCCACCCAUUGGCGAUAUAGAUUCUGACCCUACACAUAUACUAGGCAGCUCAUAGUCAGGUGGGACAUAAGUAGUGAUAGGCAAUGGCAUACCUGUGGGAAUUCUAGAAGUAUUGGGGGUUGAAGCUGACUGUGUCUGGUAGGACAGAUGUUCGUUGACUCACAUCUCAAACUUUGAGUCAUUCUUUAAUUUCUCAAUGUCCUAUCUAUGUGUAGCCCGAACCUCAUUAUCAACUCCCCAAAUCAAAAGCACAUUGGCCUGCCUGCAUAACUUCAUGAUCAAACACAGGAAUGGUAGUGUGCUUGCUACCUUAUGAUCCCUCAAAAACAUUUCAUCAGCAAUAAUUUGUCCAAAAUGAAUCUUCAUCCCUAUAAUUAGACUAACAACCAACACAGCCCUAUGACUGUGCAAAUUAGCAUCACCCCCUAUCGGUAUCAACCUUAAUCGAAUAAUGACCCACCAGAAUUUAGACUAGAAGAUAAGGAAGAAUUUAGCAAUAUGCUCUCACAAGUUGGUUUCCUAAGAGGGGUUGCCGUCCUCAGUAAGUAGCCCAAACAACAAAGUCCUUUACGUGGAUGCAGAAGUCAGGCGAUACUCAAGAUCAGGACCCAUAGUCGGUGCUUCAUAGUUGGGCCCAAACAAUAUCCUAUUAAUUAUUUAAGCCGAUAUAUCAAUGUUAACUCUUAUCAUCGGAACUGAUUCUUUGUUAGAAAUGUCUAAAAUUUUAGAGCCCUUAGGAUAAUAUUUCUCUACCAAUGGUAAGUAAUUGGUGAAGAACUCCCUUACAAGAUGCGGUUAAUAUGAACCUAGAGGCUUGUACAUCUAGGCUAACUCAUUCUUGUUGAAUCGCUGCUCCAGCUCUGGAUAUUCAUGCAACUCAGAGGUCACUAUCUGAUACUCUUCAGUGAUUGGUCUCUUGAUUGGCCUGGUUGUAGUGGGUUCCAAGACAUCAAGGUAUUUGUCCCUUGCACCUUCAUUUUCUAUUUGAGUGACUCCUUUAUUUUCGGAUCCUUGCACUUAAUCAUAUUGGUGUCCUCAGUUUUAGUCUCAACAGGGCUAGUUUUCCAUCAAUGGGGUUGGGGUUAGAUAUAUUAACCCUUUUCUUGUCUGAUCUUGAACUGGUGCUACUAAUGCUGCUCUCACUCUCCUAUUUAGAUUAGGAGAGUGUGUGGAGUUUCCUAUCUCGCUGUCGAGCAUUGAAGGCAGGUGCCUCCUCACUUCUAGUCGACUCAUCUUUUCCCUUUUAUGCUCUUCCAUCGCCUCUGGUUAGGGGUAUCUUUCAUUCCAUAUUUCUUGAGAAAGGAACAUGGAAUUAGUUUACAAUUAAAAACCAGUCCAAAAUAAUGAAAAAGUUGCAUGACGAAAGGUCUAAUGGUUCAUUGAGAUUGCGAUGGUCCGUCAGACACACCGUCAGGCCUUAACCAGUAUGUCUCUUUUUAGAUAGCCUUCCAACAGUCAUCCCGAUGGUCUUUCAGGUGCCCAAUGGUCCGCCAGGUCAUCCGUUGUGACUUAAAUAGAGAGAUCAAGAUUCAAUAACCUCGUGACUAUCUUCCCAAUGAUCCAUUAGAGGUGCAGACAGUCACGAGGUCUGACAGUUCGUCAAUCUGGCUGUUGCUUGAAUUUGACAAUAAUUUACUUUCCCUAGGGCAAUUCAUCGAACACCUAGUAUGCAAUAUUCAAUUUUUGACACAACAAUCAAACCAAUUUGACGUUUAAGUACAGAUUUUCUACUUUGGGAACAUGGGUUACUCGGACUUCACGUGGAACAGAGCAUACCAGAGUUUGACUUUGGAUCAAAGCAAAAACAACAAGGCAACGGAAAACAAGAUAGAAUUCUUUUUUAGGCAUUAGCAAUCUUUUGGAAAUUGAAUCCAUCAUUCUAAAGUAAAAAGGGAGAAAAAUCAUGAUCAUACCUUGAUUUCAGUGUGUUCUUCACUACUCAACUUGCAGAACUUCAGACCAAACUAUGACUAGCACUUGCUUUAUCAGUGAAAUAUGCAACUUACUUUGUGAUGAGAAUAAGAGAGAAUGAAGGCUGUUUAUAUAGUGGAAAAUGGGAAGAGGGAUAGUCCUAAGUGAAGAUAACUGCCACUGGGUACUUUGAAUACAGAAAAAGUUGAACAGUUAUAGGAUUUGAAGGGGUGGCAACUUAUGAAACCGCUUAAAUUUAUCCUUUUAAAAUCAUUUGGGUCAAAUAGGGAUAAUUAAAUAGGCCUUUAACUUAAAUCGACCCAACCCGUCAGUUAGGGUUAGUCUGACGAUUGACCUAAUGGUGCGUCGGGACUUACUAGAAACUCAUUAAUCAUGCUUCAUUACGACGGUCCUUCAGUAAUUCAAUGGUCCGUCGAGCAUUCCGUUAGUCCAUUCCAAAAUAUUUGAAUUUAAGGUCAAGUUUGAUGGAGACCUUGAAGGUCUGUCAACAGCUUGACUGUCCGUUAACUUGGCCGUUAGGCCUUAUCCAGAAUCUCAAAGUUUUUGCUAUGCUUUUGACGGUUCCAUUGACGGUUCAUCAGGUCCUUGACAGUCCGUUGGCCUUCCCAUCACCCUUCAUCAACUGGAGAAAAUCCUUUCUUUCUACAUUCUCAGUUCUGCACGCUUCACAAACACAUCAAAUUGCACAAAAAUAAUAAAUAGACUCUAACUAUGGUUACAAUAACACUUUGUGGGUUUCCUCUCACUAGCGCUUGAUUUAUUAUCGCGGCACGACUUGGAUACCUCAUUUACUCAGACUUUAUGGAGAUAUACAAUGGACAAUAGCUUUUCAUCAUUGGUUGGACCAACAUAGGUCUUGAAUUUUUGCCCAUUAACUUUGAACAGACUUCCAUCUUUACUUUCAAGUUCCACCACACCUGAUAGAAACACUUGACUUACCUUGAACGAUCCAGACCAUCUUUAUUUCAAUUUACCCGAAAAGAGCCUAAGGCAAGAGUUGAACAAUAACACCGAAUCACCAGAUCGAAAAUCCCUCUUCUCUAUUGUUCGGUCAUGGUAAUUCUUCAUUAUUUCUUUAUAUAGAUUGUCUCUUUCGUAGGCUCCGAGAUGGAAUUCAUCAAUCUUAUUUAAUUUCCCUAACCUUAACUCAGCAACUUUUUUCCAAUUCAUGUUCAAUCUUUUAAGAGCCCACAAAGCCUUGUGCUCUAGUUCGACUGGAAGGUGACAUGUUGUGUCAUAGACCAGCUGAUAUGGUGACAUCCCAAUAGGUUUCUUGAAAGAAGUUCUAUAUGCCCACAAGGCAUUAUCGAGCUUUCGAGACCAAUCUUUUCUGCUCGCAUUCACCAUUUUAGCCAAAAUCUCUUUUAUCUCCCGGUUCGAAACUUUCACUUGCCCACUGGUUUGUGGGUGAUAUGGAGUAGCAACCUUAUUCUUCUUUAUACCGUAUUUCAACAGGGCAGCUCAAAACACUCGAUUGCAAAAGUGCGAUCUACUAUCGCUUAUGAUGGCACGUGGUACCCCAAAGCGAGAGAAGAUAUUCUUUUUAAGGAAUGCAACCACUCUUUUUUCUUUAUUGUCAGCCAAAGCGACAGCUUUAACCCAUUUUGACACAUAAUAAAUGACGACCAAUAGGUAUUUUAACCCAUAAGAGCUCACAAAGGGCCCCAUGAAAUCAAUGCCCCAUACAUCGAACAACUCAACUUCCAUCAUUUUUGUCAUAGACAUCUCAUGGUGCUUUGAGAUUGGCCCUUGUCUCUAACAUUUGUCACAUCUUUGAACAAACUCAUAGCAAUCCUUGAAUAAGUUUGGCCAAUAAUAACCGCUUUACAGCACUUUCCUCGCAGUUCGGUCACCUGCAUGGUAACCUUCUACCAGAGAAAUAUGACAAGCUUCUAGGAUAUUCAACAUGUCCACCUCUGGAAUACACCAUCUGAUAAUAUUAUCCGUACACCACCAAAAUAAAUACAGUUCAUCCUAGAAGUAGUGUGUAACAUCAUGUAGGAACUUCUUCCUUUGGUGAAAAGAAAGAUUCUCCGGGAUAACCUCACUUACCACAUAAUUUGUAAAGUCAGUGUACCAAGGCACUCUUUCAAGUGCAGUAGCUAGGACCUUCUCAUCUAAAAAUUUAUCAUUGAUUUUGAAUUCAUCCUCGACUACUUGAUCACCUUCAAGUCUGGACAGGUGAUCCGUGACUUGAUUUUCACAUCCUUUUCUAUCUUUGACUUCGAAGUCAAACUCUUGUAGAAGCAGCACCCAUUUGAUUAACUUUGGUUUUGCAUCCUUCUUUGCCAUCAAAUAUCUCAAGGAAUCAUGGUCUGUAUGAACCACCACCUUAGUUUCCAAUAAGUAAGCAUGAAACUUCUCAAAAGCAUAUAUAACAGUGAGACGUUCCUGCUCAGUAACAGUGUAAUUCUUCUGUUCCCCAUUUAAUGCCUUUCUUGAAUAGUAAAUAGGGUAGAUUAAUUUUCCUUUCUUCUGGCCAAGCAUAGCACCCAGUGCUACUUCACUUGCAUCACACAUGAUUUCAAAAGGCUUAGACUAGUAUGAAGCAACAAUAAUAGGGGCAACAACAAGCUUUUCCUUAAGGCAUUCAAAUGCCUUAUUUCACUCCUCAUCAAAUACAAACUUAGCUUCCUUCUUUAAUAAUUUUCAUAGUGGAUUAGCGAUCUUGGAGAAGUCCUUAAUAAACCAACCGUAGAAUCCAUCAUGAGCUAAGAAACUACGCACUCCCUUCACAGAGAUAGGAGAGGGUCUCUAAUUUUGCCCUGUCAACUUCAAUCUCUUUAGAAAAAAUUUUGUGACCAAGAACAAUGCCCUCAUUUUCCAUGAAGUGGCAUUUUUCCCAAUUAAGUGUAAGGUUAAAUUCUUUGCACCGCUACAAUGCUCUACUCAGAUUCACCAGGCAUAAUUCAAAAGAAUUACCGACUACUAAAAAGUCAUCCAUAAAUACCUCCAAGGUGUCCUCCACCAUGUCAGAGAAUAUAGACAUCAUGAACUGUUGGAACAUGGCAGGUGCAUUACAUAAGCCAAAUGGCAUCCACUUGAAAGAGAAAGUACCAUAUGGGCAAGUAAACACCGUCUUCUCCUGAUUCUCUGGAGCAAUAGAGAUCUGGUUGUAGCCCAAAUAUCUAUCCAAGAAAUAAAACACCAAUCUCUUCCUGCCAACCGAUCAAGCAUUUGAUCCAUAAAAGGCAUUGGGAAGUGGUCCUUCAAAGUCCAUGAGUUGAGGUUAUGAUAGUCCAUACAAACUCUCUACCCAAUCACAGUCUUGAGGGGAAUCAACUUAUUUUUCUUAUCCCCACAACAGUCAUGCCCCCUUUCUUGGGCACACAAUGGACAGGGCUUACCCACUUACUAUCAGAAAUUGGGUAUACAACUCCUUUGUCUAUCCAUUUAAUGAUCUAUUUCUUAACCACCUCUUACAUUAGUGAGUUAUAACGGCAUUGGUGCUCAAAGCUAGGUGUGUAAUAUUUCUCAAGAUGAAUCUUGUUAGUGCAAAUAUCAGGAGGAAUACCAAUGAUAUCGGCAAUAAGGCAAUAAGCCUUUCUAUGGCCCUUUUAUAUUGUCUAAGCACAAAGAUAAGUGCCUCAACCUGGUGCUCACCCAAAUCAGCAGCAAUAAUCACAAGAAAAGUGUUUCCACUGCCUAUAAACACGUUCCACAAAUGUCCUGGAAACUUCUUUAACUCUAACACUGGGGGCUCUUCGAUAGAUGGCUUAGCCGGUGGUGUUGGCCGAUUUUUUAGAUAUAAGUCCAGCUUUUUGGGAGUGUAUGAAUAAGAUCCCAUUCCCGUCAAAGAACAUACUAUCUCUUCAUACUCCUAGAUACCUUCACCAUCAAAAUUCAUCAAAAUUAUAGCCAGAGUUUCCACAUUAAAUUUCUCCUCAAUUGAAACCUCUCACUCAUCUUUAUAAUAAAUGUCAACAAUGGAGAAUGCACUUACCUCCUUGGGUUGCUUCAUAGAUUGGCACACAUCAAAGUGAACCACUUUAUCAUUCGUCCUGAACAAUAACUCAUUAGCCCUCAAAUCCAUAAGGACACUCCUGGUUGUGAGAAAAGUUCUACCCAAGAUUAUGGGUACUUCAAAAUCCACCUCACAGUUCAAAAUAAUGAAGUCUACUGGAAAUAUGAAACUGGCCACCUUUUAUAGCACAUUAUACAAUAUCCCCACUAGCCACUUCACAGAACUUUUCGCCAUCACCAAUCGCAUAUUUUUGGGGUGCAGGGUCCCCUAAACCCAACCUCUUAUAAAAAGCAAGUGGCAUUAAGUUAAUACUUGCUCUGAGAUCGCAUAAGGCUUUAGCAAAAUCAAGUGACCCAAUAGUACAAGGGAUGGUGAAUGCUUCUGGGUCUUCUUUAUUUUGUACCAAGGAUCUUGUCGAGAUGGCAUUACAAUGGUGAAGAUUAUCCACCGAUUCGUAGCUAAUUGUUCUCUUCUUAGUCACGAGAUCCUUCAUAAACUUGGCGUAUCCAAGCAUCUUCUCUAGUGCCUCUACCAAAGGCACAUUCACCAUCAGUUGCUUCAAUAUUGCCAUAAUUUUGAUGAACUUUGUGUCAUCAAUUUUGUUCUUUAAUCAAUGGGGGAAGGGCGGCGGUGGUUUUUGAAGAGUAGUAACAACUGCUACCUUCUUCUUUUUCUUUUAUUCCUCUAACUCACCAACCAACUGAUGGUUAGAUGUACCCACAUUAAUAUCCAUCUUCUCAGACUCCACUGUAUAGUUUUCAUCAUCUUCUACCUCUUCUUCAAUCAUAUCUUCAAUCACAGCUUUGCGGUCUAGGUAAUAGUUUACCACUCCGAGUAGUAACUUCCAUGCAAGAGCUAUCGUUCUGAGGAUUCUGCACUGUAUCUCUAGGCAAGGUACUACUCUUCCUCUGAUUUAAUAUUGUCGAGAGUUGGAUCAUCUGCUAUUUCAACUGCUUAAUAGAAGUUGAGUGUGAAUUUACUAGCUGUCUCAUAGAAGAUAAGUCACUCUUUAUCAUCGUCACCCCAGCAUUGGUCGCCUUAACUCUCUUUAAUAGUUUCUCUAUUAUGUCCCCCAUGGACAUCUUUCCUGAACUGGUAGCUGUAUUGUCUCAGCUUCUAGGAGGUACAUAUAGUCCACUUAUGUCAUUUUAGUUUUUCCAACUCCCUUGGUCCCUACCUUUGUAACCAGCCUUGUCGUAAUAAUUUUGACCUUGAUUCCCUUGGAUAUUGCCUUGGAAACCCCCUUAAUUAUUUAGAUAGUUUGCAUCCUCCUCAGAAUCAGAAUUAGCUCUGCAUUAUGACCCAAUGGCUUUUACCUUCUCAAUCUACCCAGAUAAUAAGUGUUUAGCAAGAAAAUCCAUCUGGGUUUUUAUAUACGCCAUAUCUUAGUCAUGCUUCUCCUCUUUUUGACAUUGCUCUAUAGAUAUACCACUAGACAUAGUAGGGAUUGGUACCACAGAAUCCCUGGUAUGCCAAGCUCUACUCGUCUUAGUUAACCUUUCCAACAUAUUUUCUGCCUCAGUGAAUUUAAGCUUCAUGAAUGCUCCUCCUGCUGCAUUGUCUAUAUUUGGUUUAGUGAUGGUGUUUAAGGCUCUGUAGAAUGUCUCCAUCAAAUGCUCAUCGAUCAUCUUGUGGUUUGGGCACUGUGUAAGCUUCUUCUUGAAUUGCAUCCAAGGCUCAUGUAGUAACUCAUUCAGUAACUUUCUGAAGUUGCUAAUCUCGUCCCUCAACUGUAACAUCCUGGAGGGCUGAAAGAACCUUUCUAGGAAAGCUCAUUUCAGUUGCCUCCAGUUUGUUAUCGAAUUGGGUACCAACUCAUUCAGCCACAUUAUUGCCUCUUCAUACAGAGACAAUGGGAAUAAUCGAAGACGAAUUGCAUUUUGUCCACUCCCUGGGUUGUCAAAGGACUUGCAAAUAUUUAUAAAAUUCACCAAAUACAUGUUUGGGUCAUCUCUCGAAAGUCCUCCAAAUAACUCUUUGAGAUUGAGCAACUGUAUCAUGGUACUAGUGAUAUUAAAUUUCAACCCAGGUGCUAAUGGUGGUGGGAUGAUUGCUCCAGUCACACCAGCCUUAUCUAAAUCUGUGCCAUCAUCCUCAUAAGGUGCAAACUGCAUAGCAGGUUGGCAGUUUGAUCUACCUCUAGCUACUCGAUUUCUGUUUGCAAGCACCUGUAUAUUAUCCAGACGCCUCCUGUUCACUGGGUUGAUUAGAUCAUCAUCCCCCAAAUCCUCCUCAUUAGGAUUAGGGUCAUGAGCUGGUUGAGCAUUAUUUUGUUGGUUAACCUAUGCUCUAGCCAAGAUGGCUAGUCUAUUAGCUUCUUGUUAUUCUUCCAUUCUACCAAUUAGAUGCGGUUCAGGAUUGAAGGGUAAUAACGGUUCUACUGAACUUCUGGUGUGUGAUAUAAACAACAAUGAGCCAAUAAUGAACCAAAAACAACAAAUAAAGGUAAAAUUUGGGAAACUUGACCAAAUGUCAACUAACAAUCACAAAGUUAAUUGACAAUUGUAUUCCCCGACAAUGGAACCAAAAUUUGAUAUGACCAAAUUACAACUCUCAUUAGAAAGUGUAAGCGAUCGCUGUCAAAUAUAGAACCCAACUAGGUUGGGGUCAAAUCCCACAGGGAAUAUCGUGCAAACUAAGUAUUAUGGUUAUUAACAGAUUGUUGAUCGAAGGUUCCUGAGUAAGGGGGUUUUGACUUUGUAACAGUGUUUAAUUGGUUGUAACAAGUAACGUUCCACCUAGUGAAUUUUAUUGCAAGUACUAAUUCAAUGAGAUCAAACAAACUAGAGUUAUGUUCACAGAGAUGUUCAAAUAGAUGGGGUUGUCAAUUCUCUUAAAUUCCCAAUUGACAACUUCAAUUGCAAGAGUUAUUGAACUCUAAAGUUUACCUAUUUGUUUCUCAACCUAAAUAGGUAGUUUACCCUUUAAUUAUUUCAAACUCAAAGAAUAUAAGAAUUUAUUCAAUUAAUCUCUCAUGUGAGCCAAUCCUUGUUAAGGCAUUAACUUAUAACCCAAAGGUUAAGGCCUUUAGACUUCAUGUAGACUCCUCUUUUCCCAACAUAUACUUAUCUUCUCAAACAAGUAAUGUUCUUGGGCUCACCCUUCAAGUUUGCGCAACCAAGAAGGGUCAUUAAUAUGAAGAAUGGUUUAUGCAAUCUCAAUUACAUAUGGAAAUUAAGCAUUCUGAUAACCCCAAUUAGUUAUUCGCAUCAAGGCUCCCAUAACCCUAGUUAUGGGAGUUUAACUGCACAUCUCAAGAAGAGAAGAAGAGGAAAUUAUUGUGUUCUUCAUAAAUAGAUUCAAAGAAUUACUUAUAAAGGUUAGAAUAAUUGUUCUUGAAUCAUCAAUGAGAAUCUGAAUAAAGGUAACUAAAUCUAUAAUUUUUUCUUGAAUCAUAGAGAAUAAUACGUACAAUAAUGUUUUUCGCUGGAAAUAUCUAAAAAGAUACCUAAAUAAAACCUAAACGGGGUAUUUAUAUGUUCCCAGGUACAGAGAAUUUAAAAUUCAAACUCAUUAAAGUCGUGUAAAGUUGAUGGUCACAUUAAUAGCUCGUCGGAAUCCUAACGGUCCAUUGCGUGGAUCUUCGCUGAUGGUCCCAAGGUUCUAUGUUUUGGUUAAGGGUUGAGGGUCAUGUUGGCGGACUGGCGCUGGACUGGCGGUCCAUCGUAUGGGCCAUCGCUUGAUCCUCUAAAAUUCUAUGUUUUGCUUCAGCCUGACGGCCAAACUUGCGGUCCGUCGGAUAUUUGACGAUCCGCCACUUAGACCAUCGCAGGGGCCACUCAUUUUCUCCUUUCUUUUUUACUCUAACGGUCCAUCGCAUGGUUGACAGUCCGCCAGAUUGACCGUCAGUGGCCAUUUUCUGCUACUUUUCCAAGUUUCUUCUUCAGCUAACUCCUUAACCUGAAAACUCUAAAAUCCAGUAUUAAAUACAAUAUCAGUUACUUGAAAACAUAUAAUUAUCCUUUGAAAAAAAUGUAAAAUAUUUCGUCAAAAACCAGAACAUCAGCUUGCACACCUGAUCACCUUUAUCUGAAUAUAGCUCUUUUGCAUUAUUUAGAGCAUCUAUAUUUGUAGAAAUAUGAUGUGAUUCUGCUGAGUCAACUAUCCACUCUACACAAGAUAAUCUUAUCGUUAGUGAUACUAAUUACCUAUUAUGUUUACAUGUUUCUCAUCCAGGUUCUGGUCUGUUAAUGUAUUUUCUUUGUUCAGCAGCUCUAAAAUUUAUUUGUACUGUUCCUCUGUAAAGUGGUUAUUCUUCCCUUCUUCAGAUUUCCUUUUUGUAUCACCUCCAAGUAUUCCUGCACAGUUUUUUGUAUACUAUUUUUUCCUCCUUGAUUUGAUGAAUAUCCAACUAACUUCCAGUAUUAACUCCUUGUGUGCCCCUUUUUAUGACAAAAAUCACACUGCAUGAAAGGUUUCUUACCUUUAUAAGGUUUCCUCUUCGUGAUUGCAUAGAUAUUGGAUUUGGAUCUUCUACUCUUUAUGAUUUGAACACAGGUUCUACUCUAACAGUAAAGGCUGGAUAAGGAUUUGAUCUCUAACUUUCAUAUUCAAUGAUCAUUGCAUAAGUUUGAUUUAAAGUUGGUUCUGCAGUCUUCAUGAGAAUUUGUCUCCUAGAUUGACCAUAGACUUCAUUCAAUCCACUAAGAAAUUGAAGUAACUAAUGUUGUUGGAGAUAAUCAACAUACUCUUUUGCCUUAUCACAUUCACAAUCUGAUGAAGGAGUUAUCACAUCAAACUCAUCCCAUAGCUUCUUUACUUUUGUGAAAUACACUGAUACAAAAUCAAUUCAUUGUGAUAUUAUUGUUAUUUCCCUAUGCAGCUAGAAAAUUUGAACUCUAAUCACUUUAUCAAAACUUUCUCGCAAAUCCUCCCACACAUGGUAUGCAUUCGAAGCAUAGACAAUACUACUAACUAGAUCCUUUGAUACUAUAUUAAUAAUCCAAGAUAACACGAUUGCAUUGGAAGUUCCCCAAUGCUUAUGGAGCUCCUUUCUGUAGUUCUCCUUUUUGCAAUCUCCUGUUACGAACCCUAGUAGAGCUAGCUUCAUGGACUUUCUCCACAAUUCAUAAUUUUUCGAUCCUUUUAGUUGUACAGAUACCAAAAUUGAUCCAGGAGUAUCGAAUGGAUGUAGGUAUAAUGGAUGUGUAUGAUCCAUCAUCUCUUCUGCCAAAUCUUCAAGUCUCAAAAUAGAUUCCUCCCGCUCUGAUACCAUAUGAGUUUAACUAUAAAGCUCUAAGCUUCAACAACUACAAAUAUGGAAGCUAUGGAACAAUAGACUAAUACGAGAAAGCCAUGAAGAAUUGCUAAGAUAUAAAGGACAGAGAGAUGGAAGAAAGGAAGAGAGAAACUAAACUUCUAAAAAUUUCUAUAUGAUCAACAUUUUUCAUGCAUCCUUUGUGAUAUGCACAUUGCUACUUAUACAGUGCACAACUAUAACUUCUCCUUAACAGCUGUAAGGCUCAAUUAACUCAUUUUCUAACUGACUACUAACUACUAACUACUAACUGCAUCAACUGUACUAACUCUUAACUGCUACCUCAGCUUGCAUCCUUUCACAUAUUCUAUUACUCGUACAAGUCAAGUAUAAAAGGCAACCCACCAGGUGUGUUAGCUUUAACAAUCAAUGAACAUUUGGAGUUAAGCAUAUAUAUAUAUAUAUAUAUAAAAUCUAAGAGUACUAUCUCCAUGUACCUAAUAAGAAUGGGACAAACUCCAUUUUAUUUUACAAGUAGGAUACUCAAAUAAACUUUCAAAAAGUUACAAGAACCGUGAAGGAAGAAAAUUCCUUUCCAAGCUUCACAGUUUGUCUUGUAAAAAUCUUUGUAUCUCCUCAUUAGGAUAGCUCAGUUGGUUGGCCUCCUGAAAUUACCUUUUCUACUAGCUGAUUUAGUUCCAAUAGAGAUGCUUAAUUUGUUUGGAGAAAUAUAAUUAGAAGUACCGUCUUAUACAUAUAUACUCUCAGGCCAGUUCACUUAGAUAAUUUGGAAGGGGAUAUAAAUUAUCUUUAAUAUCUGGAUAGUUAUAGGCUUCUUCACAUUACUUGUUGAAAUCCUUCGCUCAGCUAGCCGUCGUAGCACCAUUCUCAUUUCGAGGUUGAUAUUCUGUACCUAGUUAUGAAAAUGGAGUGGUUGUGGGUCAAACUUGUGAAGACUCCAAACCGUCAUGCUUCAUAUAGAAAAAAAAUGUACACCCCAACCUGCAUAUUUUCUCUAUUUUUUUAAACUGAGUUUGAUACUAAAAAAGAAUUCAUAAAAUUCUUUUUUUAUUUUCCGGUCAACUAAUAUUAAUUUAAUAGAUAAUGAAUUGAGAUUAAUUUCUAUUUCUAGAAUGUAAAUUGCCGAUAUUUCUAUAAAGUCAUAGGAAAGCCAAUUUCUACUCGACUUUCAAAUGAUUUGAUUUUCCUUACAAGAACAGAUAAGAUUAAGAUAGAUUGUGACUUAUGUUGUUUUAACCAUUUUCCCUCUAAUAAUUUCUUCUUUAAAUGGUUUUCUAUUCAAUUUGGGUUGAAAAGACAAAAAAUAAAAUAAUAAUAUUAAUAUUAUUAUUAUUAUUAUUAUUAUUAUUAAUAAUAAUAAUAAUAAUAAUAAUAAUAAUAAUAAUUUAUUUACUUAUUUUGUAAUGUUGAUUUUCUUACUAAGGCUAUUAUGUUUUUGGUAGGUUGUUAUGAUUGAUAAGUUUGGUCAAAUUUUGAUUUCUGACCAAAUCUUCUGAAAACAAUGAAUAUAGAAUAUUAUUUAUAAGAUUUCCAAAUAUUAUCUAGUAAAAACAUCUCAUACCAACUAUAAAAAUCCUUCUUUUGUUCUUUAAUUUUUCACCCUUCACUUAUUUUCCCAACACAACUUGCUCUCUUUUCUCUUCUUGUCGGAGUUCAUACUACCCAACUCUUCGUUGACUCUGACAACAAGCUCCUUCCUUUGAUGCCAACUCCACUAGCUCUACCUAGGAAUAUCAAGGAAUAUGUGUUCGAGUUCAGUUCUAAGCCCAUUGUCUAGCCCUGUUGGGCAACUUGCAAGGGUAAUAUAACAAUUUCCUUUUAAAAAUGAAAUGUCAACAUUACCCUUGUAGGUUAUCCAAUAGGGUUAGACUGUGGCAUUGGAACUGGACUUUUUCCUUAAUACGACCAGGUGAGCUGCUACAGUUGGUGUUAAAAGGUAGAAGCUUGUUGCUAGAGUCAACGAAGUAUUGGAUAGUAUGGACGUACUCCAACUCUUUAUGCAGCCUAAAUGAUUUUUGAGUUAAAUUUCUAAUAAGAUUUUGUCUUAUGUAGUUAAAAGAUAAUGAGAUGAAAGAUUUAUGUUUUUUCUUUAAUAUUAAAUUGGUUAUAGGGAAUGAUAAUGAUAUGAAUGAUUUAUGUUUAUGGUAAAAAUAAUAGCUGUAAUUUCCUCUAAAUGAAUCAUUUAUGCAAAUUUUGAUAUAUUUGAUUAAGUACAAGAAGUUAAUUAGUAAAGGGGAAAAUAUAUUCUUUAACUAUGCGAUGUAGAGUGUUUAUAUCCCUUGUUAAGAAUAUAGUGCAUAUACACUUCGUCUUCUAACAAAUAGUUGUAUAUUUUUAUUUUUUUGUUAACUGACCAAUAUUUACUAAAUUAAAGAAAAAUCCUAAAAAAAAUAAAUUAAAAGGUCAUCCAUUAAGCCUUCCCAUACCUUUUUAAUGUUAGAUUUAGAAAAUUUAGAAAAUGAACUCACCCAAUUCUUAGCCCUCCAGACCCAAUUAAAAUGGAAAAAAGUCGAUCUCUUCUACUCAGUUGUAAAACGGGUUUGGAUCAUGACUGAAUAAGAUUUUUUUUCAUGUGUCUUUUUAGUAGGAUUGAGUCUGGAUGGGUAAAAAAAGAAUGUAUAAGGUAAUAUUUUAAAAUUUAGACCUAACCUAACUUCAAAACAUAGAGAAGGGGUUUUAUAGAGUGAAGUGUUUUUACACGAUCAGAAAAGAUGAAAAAAUUAAGUAGAUUUUUGCUCACAUAUAGGUCAUAAGUAAACGAACUGCAAGCCUCGUGUUUGUUUGCUUUGUAUUGGCCACCAUUUUAGUCCACUUAAUUGCUUUUUCACUUGACAUAUAUAAUGUGUUUAUAUUUUACAUGUUUCAUUUUUUUCUUAUUGUUUUGAAUUUAAUUUGUCUAGAAGGAGAGACGACAGAAACAACCGUAUUAGUUCUCGAUUUAAUUCUUUGUUGUCUUUUAGUAUUUUGUCACAGUAGUCACUCUCUCUUAUGUUCUUUGUAUUAUUUAGUUCAGGAUACACUAUAUUCUCUGAAUCAGUCAUAAUUGAGUUUCCUCGCCAUGAAUUUCAUCUAUUGUGAUGUGUUUAAGAUGUGUUGAAAGGAAGACUGUUUUUAUGAUUACAAUCAUGAAUUUCAUUAUCUUUUGCGCGCUGGCUAUCAGAUACAACCGGUAUCUCUAUCACUGAUCACCAUAAAAUGACCUGGGAAUGAGUAUGGCACCCAUAAAAUAAAUUUACUUGAGUUUGUUUUCAUAUUGUUUGGUAUUCAUUCAAGGUGAAAAUUCAGCAUAUAUGUGGGUAAAAUAGGUUUGUCUUUUCCUAAUGCUAGCCAUGUUUUAUUUAAUUUUUACUUGAAUAAGAAAAAUCCGCAGAUAGUGAAACAAUCAGGAACUCUUCAAUCUUCUAUCACGAUAUUUUUUAAAGUACAUUUCUUAACAAAUUCCUUUGUUGCAAAGAUAUUUUUGAUUUCCAGAAACAAACCAAAACAUGAAAAUUAUUUAGUUCCUCAAUUCAAACCUGUAGAGCAUAGAUGAAGAUGGCUAAGAAGAAUCUCAAGUAUGUUUUCCUUUAUUAUGUUUUGUAUAUUUCUGUUACAAGUUUAGAAACUUAAACAACAUAGAACAUAUAGACUUGUUAUGUUUUGGAGAGAAAUGACUUUUUUUCCCCUUUACAAUAUUGUUUAGUUUUAUGUCCUUUUUACUAGAGAUUGCUAUUUUUACAUAUAAGAGAUCAUCGUUUUUAUAUAUAAGAGUGGAAAGGUCAUUUUAUUCUAUUCAAAUUGUAAGAGAGCAAGAGAUCGAUCUCAUUUUCUCUUUUCUAUUCUUUAUAGUCAAUAGAAUAUCCUAUUGAUGUACUGAUCUUAAUUUUUUCUGCACCCUGUAUUGCUGUAACGUUGCUGCCCCGGUGAUGGAAGUACACCUUACUUCUCUUGGGGAAAAAAAAGAUUCUUCUAUAAGAAUUUCAAGAAUUAGCUUCACACAGUUCCAAUUUGCUUUACUUUGAGGGUGAAUAAUAAGAGGAAAUGUGUCGGGUGAUGUUACUCUUCUUGUAGUUGAAUUUUUACAUUUUAUGUUCAAGUUUUCCUUCCUUAGCCUGCUAUAUGGUUCUUUGCAACUGCUUCUGGAUACCCAUCUUAUGAGUUGAGUCUCUUUGCUGCCACAGUAAAUGCUGCUACCAUAAGAAUCAUUAGUUUCGUCUCCAACUAGGUGAACUGUUCUGUUGCCACUAUGUAACCGUUGAAUUUCACAUUCGAUAGCUUAUUUUUUCUGUCAUUGCUUCCAUUUAGAGAUAUCACACUUCUACUAAACUAAGAAAAAUGGAGGUUAUAGAUAUCAGCUGAGACCAAGUUAAAUGAUACAUUUGUGAAUUAUACUUGUAAUUUCUAAUAGUAGCACACAUACAUAAAAGAGCUUUACUAAAGCCGUAUUUUAACAAAGGGGGAUUGUUUGCAAUUAACUUUACACUAUUUUCAAGAUAAUAAAGGAGAAUACUUUGUUCAUUCCUAAAGAUAAGAAAUUUGCUGGAUCAAAACUUAGUCUUCACUUGCACUAACCUAUCAAAAUUGUUCUUGAGGUAUUAAUAUAAAAAGGGUAGCCCGGUACACUAAAGCUUCCGCUAUAUGUAGAGUCCGGGGAUGGGUCCCACCACAAGGCUGUAUUGUACGCAGCCUUAACUUGCAUUUCUGCUAGAGGUUGUUUCCAAGGCUUGAGAACCAGUGACCUCUUGGUCACAUGGCAACAACUUUACCAGUUACUCCAAGGCUCCCCUUCAAUGUAUUAAGAUAAUAGAGGAGGAAUACUUUGUUCAUUCCUAAAGAAAUUUGUUGGAUCAAAUUUAGUCUUCACUUGCACCAAUCUAUCAAAGUUGUUCUUGAAGUAUUUCUCUCCCCAAAUUCGUGCUUGUGCAUAGCUUGUUUUUCUGUAGUUGUUCCUUCCCAAAUCAAGAUCUCUAUAGUUGAAAUAAGCAGCUCUGGGAGAUUUGGACACAUACCUAGCCAUGUAUUCAUAAAGAUUUCGAAUCCAAGAUAGAUGUUUUGUUGAACGUUCGGUUUUUGCCCAAAACACCCCAUAAUGGAUCAUGAAUAUGUUUCCAGCUCUAUGUGGGAAAGGUGUCUCAGAUUCUGAGAAGUCACUCAACUUUCCUCCAUAGGGACUAAACUGUAAUUUAGCGCCUGAGUUUUCACCUACUACUUGGUUUAAUAUUUUCCAUAUACCUUCGAGACCAUUAACAGAAAUUGGCUAUUGGACAUAGUCUGAUUUCCCUUUAAAGAUAGAUCCAGUUUUAGUUGUGGUAUUCAAGUUUAGUAACACAUCAAUUGGUGCGCCCCCAGAGUUACGAGCAAAGAAAACUACAGAUUCAAUCCAACUCAUCUCAAUGCAAUCUUCUUUCACUAAUCCUAGUUCCAGGAAGCUCUUUUGCAUUUCGUGGAGGAGUUCAUCCACUUCUCCAAUGAACUUUGUGUUGAAAAAGGCGUUUAUAGUCCUUUGUCCACACCGGAAUGGAGAUUCACUACUCCUCACAAAAAGCCUGAGGAAAAGAUUAUCAUCAACUUUGUCUGUGAUAUGUUGCCAUUUGUAAACAAGUUGAGUCGCAUUUUGUUCCAAUGUCCGUUCCACAUUAAACAUGGUCACCUUUUCUGGAAUAUCGAGUAAUUUCACCUUCCAUGAUACUAUGAGACCAAAGCUUGUUCCUCCACCUCCUCUAAUAGCCCAAAAGAGAUCCUCACCCAUUGAUUCUCGAUCCUGGAUUUUUCCAUUGGCAUCGAUUAGCUUAGCAUCAAUGAUGUUAUCAGCAGCAAUACCAAAUUUUUGAGACAUCAUGCCAUAGCCUCCGCCACUAAAGUGUCCUCCAACGCCAACAGUAGGGCAAACCCUGCAGCAAAGGCCAAUUUUUUACUUUUUUCCGCGAUUCUAUGGUAAAGUUAUGUUCCUCUAGGGUCGCGCAAGGUUGAACCAAGCAGUCUCGUCUUCUAUAUCAAUGGAUAUUGACCUUAGGUUUCUAAGAUCAAUUAUGACAAAAGUGGUUUCAGAAUUGUAUGAAAGGCCCUCGUAGUCAUGUCCACCACUUCGAAUUCUGAUUUAUAGGUCAUGUAUUUUGGAGCAAUGUACGAGCUGCCUGGAUUUGAGAUUCAUCCGUAGGAGUGAAAAUAAUUGAUGGUUUGAUUCGUUUGAAGUCGGAAUUUAUCCUUAAAUUAUUUGAAAAGGAGUUCAAAAUGGUGGAGUAUGAUGAGCUUUUAGGAGUGUAGACUUGUGAUAUUGAUAAGUUUGAAUUCAUAAUUUUGAGAGAAAGGCCUUUAAGAAAAUCAUCUUGAGUGGUGUUGGCCCAUGAAGAUGAAAUGCAAACUGAGAGAAAGAGAAAGAUUGCUAACUUCUUGAAAGUAGUCAUAUUGACUUCUUGUUGCUAAUGUUGAUAAUGGAUACAAACUAAUCUCUAUAUAUUUAUCUUUUUGGUUUGGAAGAAAACAAGUAUAGUUGAAACUUAUGAAUAAACAUGUUUAGGAAAUGUCAUUAAUAUAUAGGCUAAAAUAUACAACACAUGAAUUCGUGAUUUCCCCAUAAAAUUAGAUAUUUUUAUGCAAAAAAUUAAAAUUAGUAUAAUAUCAUCUGUCGACAACCAUAUUAUUAAAAGACAAAAGAAUACACUUAAUUGAAUAUUAAUCAAGUUAAUUAUCUAAAAAAAACUAGGGAUCAAUUCAUAUUACUUAAUACAUUCGCCUCUUAUUUUAGAGAUUAGGAAAUGCAAAUUGGCAUCAUUGAGUGGAAACAGCUCCUUCUACUACUCUUUUCAACACAUCUUCCUAAAGAUAGGUGAAGGGACCAUUUCAACUUGAGACAAAUGGAAACUACUUAGCAUAAGAAGGAAGUUUGACAAGUCAUUUUUUUGUUAGUCAAUUACUUAGGAAGUGGAAAGAGAUGUAUAUAUAUAGCUAACCUCUUUCCUUUUGGUGACUGUUAGUAGUAAAUAGUCUGGUGUUGCUUUUGCCAGCCCCAACACCAAAGCCAUUCUGCCUAAUUAAGGGGAUGCCAAAUUGAAUUUAAAAAAAAUUGAUUUUUUUUUUUUCAAAUAAGGAAAACAUGAAUUUUUCAUAUUUGAUAGAUGCAUGUAAAAGCAUAAGCAAAUCAAGGUCUAGGCCUCAGAAUUGUUCAUGCAAUUAUUGUUACAAGAAAGGACAUAGGAGAAAGUUCUGCUAUACCUAAAGCAAGAUAGUAAAGAAGGGUAGAAAGAAGCAAAUAAUGAAAAUAAUGUUAUUACAUUACGAUUGCCCGAAAUGACUUUUUCUUUGCCUGUGGUAAAACAUCAUCUGAUUUGUAUUCCGUGCUACUAAUUAAAUACGUAGUAAAUUCUGAAGCUUUAUUUCAUGUUACAUCGAAAAAAAGACUUCCUUUUGGCAAUACACAUGCAAUCAUGCACGCUUCCUUAUGCUUAACAUAUGUAUUAUUAGUUUUAGCAGGGUAAUUAUGAAUUUUCUCUUUUUUUCUAAAAAAAAGAAAGAAUAUAUGGUACUCCCUUUGUUUCUAAAUAAUGGUUUAUUUUAUUUUUUCUUUUGAUUUUGUUCCUAAAUAAGUGUUUAUUUAAGACUUCAAGAAUAAAUUUGUCAUGUUCUUUUAAAUUUGUUCUUGUUUAGAUUUUAUUCUGUCUCUUGAGUAGCUACAUCAACAUUCACAGAUGAUUUAUGCAAUUUAUAUAGCUAGAACAGACUAAUGCAGAUGAUAAAUGACCAUCUUUGUGAACAAGAGAAGUUUAUAUGAUUGUAGAAUGAGAAUCUAUGACAUUUUUACAGCAUCUCUACUUGAGAAGAUAAAAUGAAGCGAAUAAUGUGCAGAUUAAGUGGAAGAGCCACCUAGAAUAGAGGCAAGAUAUUUCAACUUUAAUGAUGAUCUAAAUGCUCUCUAAAAGAUUAAUCAACUUAACCACAAGGGUUGGUGUGGUGGUUCAGCACCUCACCUCUUAAGCAAGAGGUUGGGGGUUCGAUUCCCACCUCUGGCGAAUGGAGCAAACUUUGUGGCCAGUUUCUUACCGCUUAGUGCGCUGAUCGAAGGAACGGAGAAUUAGUCUGCCACCUUGGGAAACAAAAAAAGAGAUUAAUCAACUUUGUGAAAAUUGAAUUUUCACUUAGUCUCAGCAAGAAGAAUAAUGGUUAAAUUCCCUUAGGAACCAAGUGGAGCAAUUGCUUGAGAAGUUUCUGAUGAGAAUAAAUUUGAAAGGAAAAAGUGCCAGCUUACAGCAAAAUAUUUAAGCAUUUGUUGAGAAAGCUGGGAAAACGACUGGCUGAUGAGAAAGCAUUGAUGUAAGUUUUCCAUCUUAACUUAAAGCCCAUGUAAUUCUUCAUAACCCCAGGUAGUUUUUAAGUGUCAGAUCUAGAAUUGAUUCAUGUAAUCUUUCACUGAUGUAAAGGCGAGCAAGUAGAAACAAAGAAGAGAAAGUAUCUCGAAUGCUCAUCUCUAUUCCAUAUAAGCUGACAGACUAAGCAUUUUGGGUUUGGAUACUCUGUUGUACGAUAAAAUUGAGAGAACAUUUGUUCUCUUUGAAGGUGUAUUUAUGGGCAUUAUUCAUGCUGAAUCUCUUCUUCGAACAUUUCGUGGAAAAAUUUCAAUUUGUUAGGAUGUUUCAUCUGUUCUGAUAGGCUGAUUUGUUAUUUUCUUCCGUUAGUUCUUGAUUUGAAAUCCUCCAGUACUAUGUUGAUGAGUUUGUUCUACUAACGAAAAAUGAUCAUGAUGCAAGCGGUAGAAUAUGUACGAAAGAAAACAGAAAUUCUAAAAAAUAGUAAUCUACUAUCAUUACUGAAUUGCAAAGCAAAAUCUCUGAUAACUGAACAUGUUUCCAGUUUCUACAAUAAGUAAUAUAAGAAACUCAAUCUUUAAAUAUGCAGCAAACUGUGAAUGUCAUGACAUUUGAUAAAACAAAGAACUAUUGUACGACUUAAUUAUUUCUUUUGUGGAGUGACUAAACCAAAUGCCAUUUGCUCUUGAAUGUUAAAUGUAUAUUUGCGAAUUGAGCUUCUACUAUUAGAUGAUUCUAAAGUCUUGAUUUUCUUUUGCCUUAUAGGGAAGGAUGGAGUAAUUGCAUUGGAACAACAAUUUUGCUAUGCAAAGGAGUGAACUAGCCAGUUUUUGUUUUAGGUGAGAAAGAUAGUCAACAUAUAUUUCAAUUAUAUAGCAAUUCCAUAUUUUGGAUACUAAUAUCCUUGAAAUUAUCUCUCAAAACAUGUAUGAAAGGAUUAUUCUUCUGAAACCAAAAGGCCUGACAUACAUACGAACAUUAAGACGAUCACAAAUACUAUUAUUAGGUAGAAAGGAAGUACCACUUAUAAAUCUUGAGAAAAAGCUAAAAAGAUGAACAAUACUUGAAUUAUUCUUUAUAUAAUUAUGUGUCCAAAAUUAGGCUCUACAAAGUUGUGGCUGGAAGGUAUAGCUUAAGCUGAGACUUGCUGCGUUCUUCUUCAAUGUUUGUUGUGACGGCCGAGAGUAACUGAAAUAGUAGUAUUAUCUGAUAUCUCAGAAAAAUUAUAAAUUAUUGUGAGAAUCUUUCCUACAGGUAGACUGGAUAGAUUUUUUUUUUUUUAAUUGAGUGAAUCUCUUUGAUGUUUUAAGUGUAAUAAAUCUUUAUUUUCCAACUAAACUAUGAAAUUCAGAUGGCAUAAAGUAGUUCACAAUGUAGUCGUUUAGAAUAGGCCAAUUGUUUGGAUGGCAAAGUUGGACCAUUAGGUGAUCUUGGUACGAGGAAGGUGUAAUAGCCCAACUUUUUUUUUUAUGAGCGGUUAAUUGGUAAUUUUAAUCAGCUAUUAAUAUUAAUUAAGGAAAUUAAAAGGAGAAAGCCAACAGCCUAAUCUUUUCUCUUCUUCAGUUUCAUGCUAAAAAUAGUACAAAUAGAAUACUAAGACUGUUUUUCUAAUCCCAUUAUUUUGGAGGAAGCAGCAAGUUGCGUAGGAAAAAAAAA